rnacentral:lncRNA from 1 species
CCGUCUCCCCGAUCUCCGGCGCGUAGUCGAUCUCGUGGUUGCCGGCGGUCCAGAUCCAGGGCUGGUACGCGACGCUGCGCUCGGAGAAGCGGCCCCAGGUGUCCCAGCGGUUGUUGUCGUGGAGCGGGUGCUUGUCGGCGUAGGAGAGGUCGCCGACGAAGAGCACGGCGUCGCCGGGGUGCUGCUCGUAGUGGGUGAGCGUGCUGUUGGAGUCGGGCGUCUGGCCGAGGUCGCCGAUGAGACCCAGCCGGAGCGGCGCGCCAGGGCCGGGCGGGGGCGGCGUGGUGAACCAGAAGGUGCGCACCGUGUCGCCGAACCCCAUGGCGUAGUAGUACCGGGUGCCGUGGUCCAGGCCGGUGAGCGUGCAGUGGUGGAUGAAGCCGGAGGUGUAGUUGUAGAAGGUGUAGCGGGUGGUGGUGCCCUCGGCGGCGAGGUCGAGCCUGUCCGCGGCGCGGCCGUACAGGACGGUGCUGUUGCCCUCGGCCUCCACGGUGACCCAGGACACGAGCAUGGCCGUGCCGGUCUGGUCCCCGAGCGUGAUGUGCACCUGUUGCGGCGCGUUGCGGCCCGGCGGCACCGCGAACACGUCCGCGUCCAUCGGCAUGUCGUCGGAGGCCUGGUGCUUCCGCCGGUACGUGCUCGUCACACAGCGACGAGGGUGCGCCGCCUCGCCGACGGAGAAGAGCGCGGCGGCGAGUACUACUACUACUACUACUACCAGCGCCGCCGCAGCGGCGGGCUUCCUUUCCAUGGCGGCCACGCACUAACUGCUACUACUACUACUCGCUGGCUGGCUGCAUGCUAGCUACUGCACUAGUGCUGGCUUUAAGUAGCUAGAGCGGAGGAAGGCAUCAGCAUUCACCAACACAAGCAGCUAGUACAGGCAGGAGAGGGGCAGUAGGAGGCGUGUGGUUGCCUGCGUACCAGACGACGUGGAUCAUCCGCUACCAUGCGCAUCAAGUCGUUUGGAGCCCUGUUCAUGGUGAUUGGCUUCUUGCUAGCUUCCCGUUCAGGUUGAAAUGCAAUUAUCGGUGAUGAUGGUGCAGGUCCUCCGCUGGAGUCAUUUCAUUGGAAGAGAAAAUUAUGCUGCCUCCGAUCCAUCGAUGCAUUCAUUUUUUGAGCUAGCUGGCGCGCCAUCCGUAGCCCCGGCCGAUACGAUAGGUAUAGCUAAUCUCUUCUUGUUCGUACACAAUAUUGUCACGUGGAUAAAAAGUCGGAGUCAGUGCUGCGUCGUCGCUGCCAGGGUGACAGAGAUCUCUCGGCUAGGCUACAUACGUUCUUGGCUCAGCUCUCGUCCUCAUAUCGACCUUUGGCAUCUCUGCGUUUGCACACCCUCGUCCUCAUCGACCUUUGGCAUCUCUGCGUUUGCACACUGUGGACCAGCUGCAGACGACGACAGAUAUGAUGCAAAUCGAGCAGCCUGUGGGUAGUACAUACGUUGGAGGCGGCGGCACAGGAGGUGUCGGCUGUUCCCUACGUCGAGGAGGACCCCGCCAUCCUCGGCUGGGAGGGAGCAAACAGGGGACGAAGGAUUCGGACGACGGCGGCGAUCCACCGGAGAUGAUGGCGUCAAUUCAUCAGUUGCUACGCCGGUGCGGCAUGUUCUGCAGUUUGCGAGUCCUGCGCGCACUGCACUACGCCUGAGCAAAUCUUGUUUGGGCCACGAAUUAUUCGGCCCAGCAUCUAUUAUGCGGCCGAGUUGCCUUCUUCCCUCCCCCUCAGCUUGUCUAUGGGCUGCGGCUUAGGCAGUGUGCGUUACUGUAGCGCGUGCCGGAGCUUAAGUCGGGUAAGUCAAUUUUUUCAGCUCCAUGGGCUUCCCUCGUUUUAGUUUAUUUUUGAACUCAUUUUGUAUUCCGGCUUCACACUGCAGUAGAAAAUAGUGCCGCAUAAUGCCCGACUACUGUAGCGAGAAGCCAAAACUGAAACCGGCUAAACCGUGCGGCCUUCGAAGCCCAUCCCCCACAGGCCCAAUGGGAACCACAUGGCUUGUCGUUUGCGAUAGCAACAUCACCAGCAGCGCCAUAAGACAAGACGUUUUUGGAUGGAUGGAUACCACCCACACCACCAUUCGAGCAGUGGAACCUCACCACCACAAUUGAGCAAGCCUCAUACGGUUUGGAUAUUGAGCAAGCCUCUCGCUACGCCGACGAGUACUCUCCACCAGCGUCGCUGGCUUGCCGUUCUUCGAUCAACAGCAUGAUCUAGCAAAUAGUGCAUGAGUUAUGAGCGUCAUCGAUCUCAUUGUUGCGAGUCUCGCUGAGAGGAUGAGCAUCGUCGAGCCUCGGCACGAGUUCUUUACUCGUUAACGAAAAGUGACGCCGGGAGGCUAUUCCUUGCCCCGUUUACACGGGAGCAAUGCAAGCCUAGUCCAUAUGCUAUUAUACCAGCGAGGCUAGACGGGUUUCAUCGAGAUUUGAGGCAAUAGACGGUUCCAAAAAUUGCCAUCUCAAAAAUAAAAUGAGAUCUUUGGUUAGAUUAGUCCUUUAUCACAUUAAAUAUUUAGAUACUAAUUAGGAGUAUUAAAUAUGGACUAAUUAUAAACGCAAUUGCACACAUAAAGGCUAAUUCGCGAGACAAAUCUAUUAAGCCUAAUUAAUUCAUGAUUAGCACAUACUUAUUGUAGCAUCACAUUGUCAAAUUAUGGACUAAUUAGACUUAAUAGAUUCGUCUCGCGAAUUAGUCUCCAUCUGUGCAAUUGGUUUUAUAAUUAGCCUAAUUAAUAUCUAAACACUCUCGAUAUAACAGAGACUAAACUUUAAUCCGUGUAAUCAAACAAUAACCGGAGAACAACUACAAAUAAGAUUCUGAAUAUGAAGUCAGGAGAUGGUGCUUUUCCCGACGUCGUGGCACGAUAAUCCAGAUUGGAUUGGGCGUGUCUCGAUUGGAUGACCAUCUCCUAGUCCUCCUAACAGCACAGUAGUAGCACACUUGCUAUUGCCACUCUGCCAGCACAAAUCCCUCUAGUUCAAGACCGCAUAGCCGUCGGUGUCACCACUUUACGAGAGUCCACUUGAUCGAUAUAUAGCUCAAGAGUGCUGCACUCAAUUAGCUCCGCCAUGCAGCCACUAAGGUUUCCAAAAUAAUUAUGGUUUCUUAUUUACUUUUGAAAUGUUUAAUCAUCGGAUAAUAUAAGAGCUUGAAAUCUUCUUGUCUGCCCUUAAAGAAGAUGGCAAAUCUGAUAUGAUGCUAAUGAACUGAAUGCCGAUUUUUGAUUUCUUCAAGAUUUCAUUCGAAGUUUGGCCCUUGCACGUCUGCAUUGAAUUGGCUAGCUUUCGUCCAAACACUUUUAUUGCCGAGCAGCCUGACCAACCUUAGCAGUUACUUGCCGCCAGCCUACCACUCCCGCCCAAGGAAAGCCUUCAUCAUCACCAUACACACGCCUCCAAAGGAAUCCUAGAAGCAGAGCCACUCCACUCCACCGAUGGCGACCGCCGCGGCGGCGUUCGCGUCGCAGGUGCUGCGCGGGCGGUGGUUCAUGGCGUACGGCUCCUUCCUCAUCAUGUCCGCGGCCGGCGCCACCUACAUCUUCGCCAUCUACUCCAAGGACAUCAAGUCCACGCUGGGCUACACCCAGGAGCAGCUCAACACCGUCGGCUUCUUCAAGGACGUCGGCGCCAACAUCGGCAUCCACGCCGGCCUCGUCGCCGAGGUAACCCCGCCCUGGCUCGUCCUCGCCGUCGGCGCCGCCAUGAACCUCGGCGGCUACCUCAUGCUCUACCUCUCCGUCGCCGGCCGCGUCCGCCCCGCGCCGCCGCUCUGGCUCGUCUGCCUCUACAUCGCCGUCGGGGCGAAUUCGCAGGCGUUCGCCAACACCGGCGCGCUCGUCACCUGCGUCAAGAACUUCCCCGAGAGCCGCGGCGUCAUGCUUGGUCUCCUCAAGGGGUUUGUCGGGCUCAGCGGCGCCAUCUUCACCCAGCUCUACCUCGCCUUCUACGGCCCCGGCGGCGGCGGCGUCGACACCAAGCCGCUCAUCCUGCUCGUCGGCUGGCUCCCGGCCGCCGUCUCCGUCGCCUUCCUCGGCUCCAUCCGGAUCAUACGCGCGCCGCGGUCGCCCGUCGCGGCGCGCCGGGAGUACCGCGCGUUCUGCGGGUUCCUCUACGUGUCGCUCGCGCUCGCGGCGUUCCUCAUGGUCGCCAUCAUCCUGCAGAAGCGGUUCCGGUUCACCCGCGCCGAGUACGGCGUCUGCGCCGCCGUCGUGUUCGUCAUGCUGCUCCUCCCCCUCGGCAUCGUCCUGCGCGAGGAGGCCGCGCUAUUCAAGUACCACAACAUCACGAACGCGCCCCCGGCGCACGCUGACGCGCCGGUUCUGUCCCCGCCGGUGACCGCGGCCACGAAGCAGGGGACGCAAGAAUCCCCCGCGACGACGACGGCGGGUGCGAGAUUUCUGGCCGCGCUGAGGCCGCCGCCGCGCGGCGAGGACUACACGAUCCUGCAGGCGCUGGUGAGCGUGGACAUGCUGCUGCUGUUCACGGCGACGGUGUUCGGCGUCGGCGGGACGCUGACGGCCAUCGACAACAUGGGCCAGAUCGGCGAGUCGCUGGGGUACCCGCAGCGCAGCGUCGCCACCUUCGUCUCCCUCAUCAGCAUCUGGAACUACCUCGGCCGCGUGGCCGCCGGCUUCGCCUCGGAGGCGCUCCUGGCGCACCACCGCGUCCCGCGGCCGCUGCUGGUGGCAGGCGUGCUCCUCCUCGCCGUGCCGGGACACCUCCUCAUCGCGUUCGGCGUGCCGGGGUCGCUGUACGUGGCGUCGGUGAUGAUCGGAUUCUGCUUCGGGGCGGCGUACCCGAUGAUCCUGGCCAUCAUCUCCGAGCUCUUCGGCCUCAAGUACUACUCCACCCUCUACAACGUCGGGAACGUGGCCAGCCCCGUCGGCUCCUAUAUCCUCAACGUCCGCGUCGCCGGCCGCAUGUACGACCGGGAGGCAGCGCGGCAGGGCGCCGUGGCGGCGGUGGCCGGAAAGGGCGUCACGUGCGCCGGCACGCUCUGCUACAGGGAGUCGUUCCUCGUCGUCGCGGCGGUGACCGUAGGCGCGGCGGCGGUCACGCUGGCUCUGGCGUGGAGGACGCGGAAGUUCUACGCUGGGGACAUCUACGCCAGGUUCAAGGAGGGAACCGCGGGCAAGGGCGCCGCCGAGGAGCCGGUGGCGGAGUCCAAGGAGCAGGCGGAGGUGCAUGGGCGCCGGGGAGGCGUUCAGCGAGAAAGCGACUGAUGGAUGCAAAUGUCGGAUCAAAACAAGUUUUUUUUUUGUCCAGAGAGCAGGUAAGAUUGGAAAUUUUUGUUCGUUUUAUGGUGGGUUUUGGAUUGCGAAUUUUGUAUGACCAGGUGAUAGUUAAUCUCUACAACAAUAUCUUCUCUGCAACUAAAAAAAGGGAGAAGAGACAAAAUUUAAAAAGUUUUUUUUUGAAACGAACCUGGCAGGAGAGCUGCCGAUUAUAUUAAAAAGGAGGAAUCCAGACUGGAUAAGUACAAUGGAUCAAAAAUGAAAUGACAUGAGGCAAAAUUGAGCCAGAAGAAUAAAAUAAAAUAAAGCAACACUAUGAACUCAGUCGCAAUCAGCAUCGCACCAUUAGAGCGGAGAGAUGUUUCGCUCCCGCCAUAAUCCACACGGUGGCCUCGUCUUUGAUCCACUCAAAAAUCAUAUUGACAGAAGACUCCUUGCUGUUAAAUAUUCUCAUAUUCCUUUCCCACCAAAUUAUCCAUGUAACUAGCAUAAUCAAAGUUUGCAUGCCUCUCUUGGAGCAGGAAUUUGCUCCUGCUCUCAUCGACCACCAGUGGUGCAGCGUAUCGGCCUGUUGCCAAGCCCUCGGGUGGAUUGCUGGCGCUGAUAAUCAGUCCGCCACCAUGGCCCAGAUUCUUGUUGUAAUCCGGCAUUCGGCGAAAAGGUGUAGCGCCGAUUCUUGUGAUCUCCGACAUAGUGGGCAGGUAGCUGGAUUCGGCCAUCCCCUUUUCUGAAGUCUGUCAGCAGUCCAAAGGCGAUUUUGGAUUGCGAGCCGAAGGUUUUGCAGCUUCUAGGGGCCCAUAUUUUCCAUAUCAAGCCGUCAAAGUUGGUGGAAGCCGAACCAAUGAACUGUGCGGCGUAAGCGGAUUUUGCGGAGUAGUUACCAUCUGCAGUAAGCUUCCAAAUGAUUUCAUCUUGGACACCCGGGCGUAGGGCUACCUGUUGUACGACUUGCCACAGAAGGAUGUAUUCUCGGAAGUGUUGCACCGAGAAACUACUGUGAUGUAUGUUGAUGUCCCGGAUCCAAGUUCGGUUGUGAAGCGCAUCACGUAAACUCCUGUUCUUUCUUUUUGAAAUGGAGAAAAUACUUGGCGCUACGUCCUUUGGCCUUUGGCCUUGAACCCAGGCACUAUUCCAGAAGGAAGUCUUUGCUCCAUCGCCUACGACGAUGCGUGUACAUGCCGCAAAUAAUUUCCUAUCCGUGUUAUUACACGGAACCUCGGAGCCUACCCAAAGCUUAUCUUCUGCUUUCCACUCAUGCCACAGCCACCUGAGCCUUAGUCCUCUUGCAAAGUUGUAGAUGUUUAAAAUACCUACUCCCCCCAAUCUUGUCGGUCGGGCGGACCUUUGCUAAUUCACUUUGCAUUUCCCCCCUGUUAAUGUCGCCGCCCCUGCCCAAAAGAACUUCUUGCGCUUUGCAUCAAUUUCCUUCAUCACCUCUUUGGGGGCCUCCAUUGCCGACAGGAGGUAUACCGCUUGUGAUGUUAAUACUGAUUUCGUGAGUGCUAGGCGUCCCGCCAUAGUCAUGUUCCUAGCAUUCCACGCAGUGAGUUUGCAGGUCGCCUUGUCUAUGACGUAUUGGAAGUGUACUCUCUUGAGCCUUGACGUCGUUAGUGGAAGUCCAAGAUAUCGCACCGGAAAGGAAGACUGUGUGACUGGAAUGUCUCCAAAUAUGUCGUCCAUAUUAAGCCCUUCGCAUCUUAUAGGCACCACACUAGAUUUCUCGAAAUUUGUUCUCAACCCCGACACUUCACCAAAUCUAGUGAGUAGGUCAGCUAAGGCAAUGACAUCCUGCCUAGUCGGGUUUAGGAAAAUAGCCGUGUCGUCGGUGUACAUGGAUGUUCGGAAAUUGAGGGACCUGCCUCGCAGCUUGGAUAUGAAUCCUCUGUCAGUGGCCUGUUCCAGCAAAGCUCGUAGUGGUUCAAUUGCAAUCACAAAAAGUAAAGGAGAUAAAGGAUCUCCUUGCCGUAGGCCUCUGUUAUGCUUGAUGGGGCUGUUUGGGACCCCAUUGAGAAGGAUCCUAGAUGAAGAUGUGUAGAAUAGAGAGGCGAUCCAAUCCCGCCAACGAAUAGGGAAGCCCAAGCGUUGAAGUAAAUCUAGAAUAUAGUCCCAUCGCACCGAAUCAAACGCUUUGGCGAUGUCAAGCUUAAAGAAUAGUGCUGGAAUUCGUUGUCGAUGGUAGCGACGCGCCAUGUUCCUGAGUCAUAAAAUUAUCGUGGAUGCUCCUUUGCUUGAUGAAAGCCGAUUGAGAAUGUGAUACAAUGUUUUUCAUGUGCGGGGCCAGUCGCAUGGCGAGCACCUUUGUAAUAAUCAUGAUGAAUGAGUGUAUCAAACUUAUCGAUCGGAAGUCAGGGACUGCCUCGGCCCCUUCCUUUUUUGGUAACAACACUACGUUGGAUGUGUUGAUUAAUGGCAGGCUCGUGCAAUGCAAGUUAUGAAAAGCGUUGGCUGCGUUUAUGACGUCGCGCUUUAUAAUCUCCCAGCAGGCCUUAUAAAAUGCUCCAGUGAAGCCAUCUGGUCCGGGCGCCUUGUCCGAUGGUAUGUCGAGUAUUGCACGUUUAAUUUCCUCCUCCGUGAAAGGUUCGGCGAGGGAGCUGAGGUCCAGACUGGGGAGAUUUAUGUUGUCCCAGUUAACGUCCUGUGAUCGUUGUCCUGGUGGCCCCAUCAUCGUAGCGAAGUGGUGUUGAAUUAUGUUUGCUUUUCUUCGUGAUUGAAAGCCCAACUGGACCCUUGCUUUAGUCGCUGAAUGUAGUUUUUCUUCUUCCUUCCGUUAACCCUCCGAUGGAAGUAUUUGGUAUUAGCAUCACCUAAUUUGAUGUUCGUAAUGCGUGAUGCUUGUUUCCGUCUGACCCUUUCAACCACCGCCAGGCCGAGGAUUCUUCGCUUAAGUUUUUGUCGCAGGUUCAAUUCAUCCCUGAUGAGGGUUCUAUGUUCUUGUGCCAUAUCCAAUCUAAGGACGACAUCAGACGCCAUGAGAAGCUGCAUCUUGGCAUCCGGGUAAAAGUUGUGGCUCCAGGCUCUAAGCAUUUGGGAAGUAUCCCGUAACUUGUAGUACAGGCGGUGAAAAGGCUCGUGAUGAGCGCAGGGCUUACUCCAAGCUUCAGUUACUACCUCCUUGAAGCGUGGCAAUCUUGGCCAAAACUCUUCGAACCGGAAUGUCUUUGGCCGUCGUGGUCCACUUUGAUUGGAGAGGAGUAGUGGGCAGUGAUCCGAGUGCGAUGUUGAAAGUGCAUGUAGAGUAUGGGAGGCAAAUAAGGCGUCACCUUCCGUAUUACAGAACACUCGGUCGAGUCGGACAAGCGUCGGAUUUUGUUGCUCAUUGCUCCAUGUGAAGCGGCGGUUCUGCAGUGGAAUUUCCUUGAGCUCACAAUCGCUGAUCGCCUCUCUAAAUAGACUCAUCAGUCUAGUAUUUAGCCUAGAAUUGUUCUUAUCCGCGGCUCUAUAUAUGAGAUUAAAAUCACCCAUUAUAAUCCACGAUGUCCCACUGGGAGGCUUAAGUGUUAGCAUUUCUUGUAAGAAGGCUCUCUUUUGCUCCUGACUGGAUGGUCCGUAGAUAUUUGACAGUCUGAAUGUUUCGCCAUCAUGUAGUGAAAUAGAGGCUGAUAAAUGAAACAUCCCCACAGCAAUCUGUGAGACCUGCACUACCCUCUCAUCCCACAAUAUCAGCAGUCCUCCUCUUGUACCUGAAGCUCCUGUGGCCGGCGCGAAAGCGUUUUUGUUUAACCAGUACCCACCUAAGUAAGACGAAGUGAAGUCAUCUAUCUGUGCAAGCUUGGUUUCCUGGAAGCAUGCAAUGGCGCACGUUGUGUUGGCCACAAUCUGGUGAACUACAUCCCUACGGGCUUGCUGAUUAAGACCCCGUACAUUCCAACAUAAUAUAUCAACGUCGGGGCCGAUCAUUUGAAAUAGCACGUCGCGUCUCAGUGCUCUUCAGGCCGAGGCAUUCUAACCCCUGCUGACGGCCGAAGGACGUACAAAGGGUGUCACAGAGCAACGAAGAUGAUUUGCAAGAUGUCAGAUGCCACAUGUUUUGCAGCUUACAAUUACAACCAUAGUGAAUAAGUCUUGCAACAUAUUGAAAGCAUACAAGAAGUCUUGCAACACACAGCCGCCAUCUUGUCAUGGACACACAAAGGGUAGCACACAGGGACGUUAUCAACAUCCUCAUGGUCGCACACAAAAGUACUGGGAGAGGAGACAGAAACAUGUAAAAUGUAGAGUGCAGCAGGGUGGCCAUCCUGAUUAAGCCACAGGAACCGUGGAUGCCUCCUCCAGCUCACCGGCACCCUCACCGAGGAUUGCCGCCAUGGCAUUGUCGGCGUCCUCCAACUCUUCAUCUUCCAGAUUGAACAUUGCCGUCAUUGCCGCGAUGAUGUCCGCCGGCAGCGCUCCACUGUACAUAUCCAGAUAUUCCUGCAAAGCACGUUCCACCGGCAGAAGAUCGUCAGAGAGAAGGCCAAGUUUGCGGCAGAGAUUCUGCUGCGCUCUCUGGACGGCAUUCAUCGGGCGUGCAUUCGCCAGACGCGAGCUGCGCCGCACUGCAGACAUAUCAAAAGUGCGACGUUUGCGCCUACGGGGGGCCGGGCUUGGUGAACUUGCCUGCUGUGGUGGUGGCGAAGGCAAAGGCAGCACCGGGCGGGGCGGUGUCACGAACAGACUUGCAAUGCCGGGGGAGGCUUGAGUGGUCGGCGCUGUUGGAGUAGCUGCAACCUGUGCGGCAUCAGUUGGAGUAGCAGCAGCCUCCCAAAGCGCCUCUUGGGAUACAACAGUCCCUCCCAGGACAGGCGACGGUGGUGAGUGGCCGGAGACAGGAACGUCCUGGUCGGCCUGAAGCUCCAACUGGCGAAGAGCGAGCUCCACCUCAUCAUGGGAGACGCUUCUGUCAUUGUUGUGGGAGCCAUCAUUUUGAGUCCCCUGCACAUUAGAGGGUACAAUAGAAAUCGCUGCACGAAUCCUGUCAAAAGCAACAGAGACGGGAACAAGAGGAGGCGGAUGCCGGCUUGUGGUCAGCAAUGUGCAUCUAAAUCAAAGCACUAGCUCUCCGCCUGAAACCCACCAAAAUUUAACUGAAAUAGUGAAACCAUGCAUCGAGUUGAGUAUUGCAGAUUUCAUGUUUCUUUGCAGUGACAUUUGUUGGAGUUGGACAAGAACAUUUCGAUAUUCUAAAAAACUUUCCAUGGAUGUGGUCCAAUCUUACAGCUGUUCUUUCGGUUCUACCCUGUCUUCACCAAUUCCCGCCUUGAACUUUGCGUAGAUGUCUCCCGCGUAGAAAUCCCUGGUCCUCCACGCCAGCACCGCCGUCACCACCGCCGCGGCUACGGUCACCGCGGUGAUGACCAAGAACGACUCCUUGUAGCACCGGACGCCAAUGCACGUGACGCCCUUUCCGGCCACGGCGGCCACCGCGCCCUGCCGCGCCGCUUCCCUGUCGUACAUGCGGCCGGCGACGCGCACGUUGAGGAUGUAGGAGCCCACCGGGCUCGCCGUGCCGCAGAAGUUGUACAGCGUCGAGUAGUACUUGAGGCCGAAGAGCUCCGACACGCUGGCGAGGAUAAGCGGCUGCGCGGCGCCGAAGCAGAACCCGAUCAUCACCGACGCCACGUACAGCGACCCCGGCACGCCGAACGCAAUGAGGAGGUGCCCCGGCACGGUCAGGAGGAGCACGGCAGCGAGGAUCAGCGGCCGCGGGAUGCGGUGGCGGGCAAGGAGCGCCUCGGAGGCGAAGCCGGCGGCGACGCGCCCGAGGUAGUUCCAGAUGCUGAUGAGGGAGACGAAGGUGGCGAUGCUGCGCUGCGGGUAACCCAGCGACUCGCCGAUCUGGCCCAUGUUGUCGAUCGCCGUCAGCGUGCCGCCGACGCCGAACACCGUCGCCGUGAACAGGAACAGCAUGUCCACGCUCACCAGCGCCUGCAGGAUCGUGUAGUCCUCGCCGCGCGGCGGCGGCCUCAGCGCGGCGACCAAUCUCGCACCGACCCUCGCGGGCUUCGAGGUGACAGGCAAAGGCUCCGGCAACGGCGCCGGCUUGGCGGCCACGGUCGCCGGGGACGGCUCCGGCGCCUCUGCUCGCGCUUCAUGCGCGUUCCUGAACAGAGCAGACUCCUCGCGCAGGACGAUGGCGAAGGGGACGAGGAGCAUGGAGAGCACGACGGCGGCGCAGACGCCGUACUCGGCGCGGGUGAAGGGGAACCGCUUCUGCAGGAUGAUGGAGACCAUGAGGAACGCCGCGAGCGCGAGCGACACGUAGAGGAACCCGCAGAACGCGCGGUACUCCCGGCGCGCCGCGACGGGUGACCGCGGCGCGCGUAUGAUGCGGAUGGUGCCGAGGAAGGCGACGGAGACUGCGGCCGGGAGCCAGCCGACGAGCAGGAUGAGCGGCUUGGUGUCGACGCCGCCGCCGCCGCCGGGGCCGUAGAAGGCGAGGUAGAGCUGGGUGAAGAUGGCGCCGCUGAGCCCGACGAACCCCUUGAGGAGACCAAGCAUGACGCCGCGGCUCUCGGGGAAGUUCUUGACGCAGGUGACGAGCGCGCCGGUGUUGGCGAACGCCUGCGAGUUGGCUCCGACGGCUAUGUAGAGGCAGACGAGCCAGAGCGGCGGCGCGGGGCGCACGCGGCCGGUGACGGAGAGGUAGAGCAUGAGGUAGCCGCCGAGGUUCAUGGCGGCGCCGACAGCGAGGACGAGCCACGGUGGGGUGACCUCGGCGACGAGGCCGGCGUGGAUGCCGACGUUUGCGCCGACGUCCUUGAAGAAGCCGACGGUGUUGAGCUGCUCCUGCGUGUAGCCCAGCGUGGUCUUGAUGUCCUUGGAGUAGAUGGCGAAGAUGUAGGUGGCGCCGGCCGCGGACAUGAUGAGGAAGGAGCCGUACGCCAUGAACCACCGCCCGCGCAGCACCUGCACCGCGAACGCCGCCGCGGCGGUCGCCAUGGCCGACGACUGCUUGCUUGCGCUGCCUGUCGCGAGCAGAGUGUGCGCUCUUCUGGAUUACUAGUUGCUUACUUAAUGAGUAUAAAUAACAGUUACUGGAAAGGAGUAGUUAGUUCUAAAGUUUGUGGGGGGAGAAAUGCGUGCUGUAUUUGUUGUUUUACCGGAGCAUGCGCAGACCGGUGAGUUGGAAAGUUAAAAGAAGAGAUGAGAUUGAACUUUAGACCAAGAAGUUGGCAUUUGAUACUGUUCUGCUCUUGUUUAUUUCUUAUUAGCCGUAAUAGUAGAAUAAUAUUUGGACAUGCAGUGAUAUUGGUAACCUGUUGCAUUGGCCUAAUAAGCAAUUAAGCAACUAACCUGUGAGUUAACUUGAUAACACAUGGUAGGAAGUUUUAUAGGACUUGGUUUGUAUCUUACUGUUGAUGAUGCACAGCAUCCAACUGGAGUAGUAGACAACAAAAGGGCAGCAUGUAGUUUACUGAAGGAUCGUUUCGUGCGGCUUGAUUCCGGCACAAGGGUCACGGGCAACGACGACUCUGUGUCCUUUUGGAUGCAUGUGUCCUCAGCAAUAUGUACGAUUAUCAGCCACGAUUAGGAUUAUGAGCAUGCAUGGAAAAGACCCUCAAUUGUUGGCCUUGAGGAGGAUUGACUAGCCGGGCAAAUUUCAGUGCAAACAAAUGACAAUCACAAUCACUGUAACUGGAUUUAACUCGAAUUCACAAUCAUAAUCACAAAUCGCUCCUACUGUAGUGAUCAAAUCAAAUGGACGUACGCACGAGAUAAAUAUUUUAUUUGAUUGAUGAUGAUUAAAGUUUGAUUCAAGAGAACCAACAAGAAAUAAUUCAAGUAAAGUUUGAUCCUAAUCCAAGAGCUCAAGUAUUACAAUAAUUAGUUAUUAUUAAUUGUGGAUUGGAGCCGUAGCUUCGAUUCUUCGGCCGGUGACCGGUGUAGAUGAAGCUAGCUAGCUAUCUAUCCGGAGGCCUCGACGACGGCGACCUGCCCUCGGCGCGCGGCGGCAAUCGUUGAGGAUGUCGUCGACGUAGAACUGGCACCUGCUGAUGUCGCUGCCGCUGUGGUUGAUGCAGUCCUGGAAGGCCUGGACGUGGAUCUCGCACGGGCUGCUAGCCGGAGCCGCUGCAGCCGCCGCCGUGGUGGUCUCGUGUGCGCCACGGCCGUGCUGGCGCCCCACAGGCCACAGCCAUCCGUCGGCGAUGGCGGAGGCCACCUUGGAUCUGGCGCGGGGAGCAGAGUGCAAAUCAAUCGGACACGUAAUUAGUUGAUUGAUAGGUAAAUCUGAUAAUAAUCCUUCUUCACACUCGGCUCGAUCCAUGGUAUGCAGGCAAGGCAGAUGAUCUUCUUCUGGAGGAAUGCAAUAGAGUAGACGACCAUGUACGAUACUAUGCCUCGUUUGUUUCCACCUAUAAGCGGCUUAUGUCAUUGGAUACAAACUCCUAAAGUUUAGUAGUGUACUAAAAGUUUAGGAUCCUCAAAUUGCUAGUUCUAAAGUUUAGUACAGAGCUGUUUGGAUGGACUACUAAUCUUUAGGAUCUUAGAGGGAAAAUGUUAUUUUUACCCUCAAUUACUUCUCUAAACUACCCCUGCACUGUUCACGUCAUUAAUGUAUGCGAGGGCAAUAGGGGUAAAGGAGGACUUGGGGACCACUUUUAGAAGAAAUAGGAUCUAUCAGUAGCUCUUGGCCCUCCUAAUGAAAAUGAUCCUCCUAAAGUUUAGGAGUGUACUUUUAGGACCCAUGUUUGGAUACACAAUUCCUAAAUGUGUCCUAAAAGUGGACUCCUAAUCUUUAGGAGGGUGUAUCCAAACAGACCCUUAUUGGUGGAAAUAAGUGAGAAUUCUGCCAAUCACUUUGCUUGUUUCAUCGAUUCUCGUUUAUAUGGUAAGCUUUCAGAGAUUUGAACUACAAGAAAUGAGAAGCGAGAAAAUCUUCACUUAAAUUAUAAUAAAAAAUAACUAGGAAAAGCGUAUCAAACAGCGCUACUACGGGCUAUUUCCACGGCGGCGGUUGCUGCGACACGCAUCGUAACAAUAACUCUUCAGACUCCAGAGCGGGCCGCCCGUUCCUGGGCUCUUGGCCCAACUAGCCCAUUUUCAACCAGCAGCACAGCCUUCUUGCCUGCUUUCCUGCGGCCAGAACGUGGGUGGGCCAAGACCUCAGCAUCAGUCACUCAUGUCCGUGCCAGUCACACACUCUCUCUCUCUGUGUUACUACUUUUCAAAAAAUAAAAAAAAAGUCUCCCUCUGUUUUGUUGGCAGCCGGACAGACAGAGGCACGAAGCCGCACAGCGUGGGACACGGACACGUGACCCGGCACAGUUUUCUUUCUUUCUUUCCUUCCGGGUGGGGAGCCACAUCAGCAUAGACUGUCCAUGCCUCGUCUCGAGCGUUGCACCCGAGCUAUUACUCCUCCGUUCAAAUUUAAUUAUAUUUAGUUUAAAAAAUUAAAAAAACUUACAAUUUUGGAACCGAGGGAGUACAUCGGAGCACUGCUUAAUAUUCUAAUCUCACUGCCGAACCACCUGCAAUUUGGGUUAAUAUUCUAAUCUCACUACCGUCGAAUCUCUCGAAAAGGGAUCACCACUGCAGAUUUUCAUGUGGAGUUGAGCCACGAACUCUUUGACACGCUCAUGAUGCUCAUCUUAUCAGGUACUACAAGGUUAUUCUGAGAUAAAACUGCAGCUGUACUUCUUUUCUUUCUCGCAUGUUGCAUCCCAAUUCCAAAAUGGCUCACCCCUCUUUAUCAAAAAUAAAAAUAAAAAUGGCUCACCCCUGUCGUGUAGAUUCCUCCUCAGCCCUCUUGCUCCAACAAAGAUGUCAAAUUUACACUGCAGUUGAUCAGAAAAUAGCCACCAGGCAGAUAAAAACGCAAAAGAAGAAGAUCAUCUCUAUGCACGACAGUACAUGCUCAUUAGCCAUUAGGUUGCUGGUUCUGUGCAAGAACCACUGUCGUGUAGAUUCCCCCCCUCAGCCAUAUCUUGCUGCAACAAAGAUGUCAAAUUUGCACUGCAACCAGAGUAGGUUGAACCCAGCUGCAGUUGAUCAGAAAAUGGCAACCAGACAGAUAAAAACGCAAAAGAUCAUCUCUAUGUACAACAGAAAUCAACGCUCAUUAGCCAUUAGAGGUUGUUGGUUCUGUGCCAAGAACCACUCUGACUUGCGUUGACCGAGCACAAAAAAAAGAAGGUGAGAAUCUGCACCUUGUCCACCAACACUCCUACACGGUUUGGUUCAUCAUCAUGUAUCUACAAAACUUAUGCUUCCCACCACUCUCAUCCAUCAUGUUGCUCCGGCAUCAGCUACCAAAGUAGUGUAUUACUACUACUCAUCAGCUCAGAGCUCCAGGUGCUGCUCGUAGCACAGCUCGCUCAUGCAGGGAGACAGGAUCUCCUCCUCCAGCAUCUUCAGGACGGCGCUCAUCGAUGGCCGCUGCCCGGGGUCGGCGUCCGUGCACAUCGCAGCAAUGUCUAGAAUGGCUUCCACCGCUUCCACCUCCACGUCACCGCAUCUCUCGUCGAUGAUGUCCUCCAGCCGGUGCUCCCCUGUUAGCGUGUUCAGCUGCACAAAGGCGCAGGUGCACAGUUUUGGGAGUUCAGGUCACCACUUCACCAACAACAACUAUAACCACAGGUAAUAAGUAAAGCAUUUACCCAGCCUACAAUGUUCAGUCCCUUCUUGAUGAAGCAUGCAUCAGUUGGCCUCUUUCCAGUCACCAGCUCCAGCAAAAGCACUCCAAAGCUAUACACGUCCGAUUUCUCAGUAGCAUGCCCGUUCUGCAAGUACUCUGUCACCCAAAGUGUCAAAAUAAGCAUCCAAUUUCACCUUUUUUUAAAAAACAAAAUUUCACUUUCAAUUGGAGCUACACAACAUUACAUUCAAAAAUUUAUGUCUACAAUUACAAUUUUUACCAUUAAAAGAGUAAUGCAGAAAAUUUCUACAGCUCAGUGAAUGAUCAACCUUUUUUUACAAUUCUUGUUUAACUUCUUUUUGGUCUUGUUCGUGUUUCUCUACAACAUGCACUUUCAGUCUUUCAUUUCAGUACAACUAAUAGCAUUCAAUGUUCUUUGAAUAAUGCAGAAAUUCUACAGUUCAGUGAAUGAACAUUUGUUUUUACUGUCCUUGUUUAACUUCUUGUUGGUCGGGAUGUUCUACAAGACACACUUUCAGUCUUAUGUUUCAGUAACAGCUAAUAACUUUCAUCUGUCAGCUCUUAACCUCCAAUUAGAACCGUAUGACUAGUUGAAAAUUUUGCACUGUAGAAAUCAAAACAGUAAUGUCCACCUAGUAAAGUAAGAUAAGUACCUGGUGCUAGGUAUCCAAAUGUACCAGCCACGACAGUGGUAACAUGGGCGCCAUUGUCCACAAGCAGUCUCGCAAGGCCAAAAUCAGAGACACGAGGCUCCAAGCUUCUAUCCAGAAGGAUAUUACUUGCUUUGAUGUCCCUAUGCACAAUCCCAGGUGAGCAAUCAUGGUGCAGAUAUGCCAGACCCCGAGCUGAGCCCAGGGCGAUUUUCAUACGUGCAUUCCAGUUCAAUGGCUGGUCCUCUUGUUCAUCUCCUGCCACAGGUAGAACGGCAUGUCAAAGAAGGCAAUGCACUGGUGCCAGUGAAUUGUUACAGUGAUCAUGCCAAGAGAUGCAUGAUGGUGGGCAUUCUUACCAUGAAGGUAGCAAUCCAAGCUGCCCAGCUCCACAAAAUCGUAUAUGAGUAGCUUCGCUGUGGGGAGUCUGCAGUAGCCACGCAGAUUGACAAGAUUUAUGUGCCUGAUGCUGCCCAAAAUCUCGAGCUCCUUCUCAAAGGUCCUGUCACGACUUUCACGGCUGAGAUCAAUCCUCUUCACAGCAAAUGAUGUGCCAUCAUCCAUUACCAUUUUGUACACUGUGCCAAACCCCCCGCUGCCAACCACAUCCUCUUCAUCAAGCAGCUCCAACCUUCUAAUAAUCUCACUUGUUGAGUACGGAAGGUUCCACUGGUAUGUCACAAGCUUUGCACCUAAAUCAUGGGGGAAAAAAGUAAAAUUAGUUUUCGUGUAGUCAGUCUGGAUAAAACUGUACAACUCUGGUUAGUCACCACAAUCAGCAUCUUUCUAUUUUAUUUCUUUCUUCUUUCUAUUAUAUUUCUUUUUGAGGAGAAACACUACGAAAUUGUGUGUCAUUUUCAUUACCAUCAGGAACACUUUGCUUGUCCAUCUUUACAUAGUUCCCGCCAAUGCUCUUCUUCCUGGACAGCAAGCAAAUCCAUAGGAACCCGAGUACAGCAAUCAAGGCAAGGGCCAAGGUUGACAUUGAACCGAUCACAAUGCCAUUCAGAAAGUGCGAUGUUUUGUUGUUGUUGAUAGGAGAAACACCUAUUUGAAACAGAAAUAAUAAAUAUCAACAGCAGUUAGCCCACACAUGCACUAAAAUUGGUAAAAAAAAAGAGUUAAGAACUGUACUCAAAUAGAAUGGGAGACUUGCCAGCUGAAGAGAGAGGAUCGGAAUGUGGCAGCACAGCAGGAAAGCCGAGGGUUCCACGGCAAGCUCUCUGGAUGGGCAAGCCACAAAGCUCCAGAUUUCCAACAAACCUGCAUCACGUGAACAAAUGCACAACAACAUUAAAUACAGGUAUCCAACGUCAUAAUAGGAAGCACGAAUGAAACAAGGGACAAAGGUUGACGGGACCAAAGCUUACGAGCUGCUUUUGAAGGUUCCGAGGACACCCACAUUUGGGAUCUCUCCGGAGAAGAAAUUAGUGGACAGGUUCCUGGAGAUGGUAAAUGUGCAGCCCUCUCAGUUUUACUUUUACAUCUCCAACAACAAGGGCAUGAGGAAUGCUCAUCAGAAAACUUACAGAAAGCGGAGGUGAGUAAGGCUUCCAAUCGACGCAGGAAUUGUGCCCCUCAACAGGUUGCUCGACAGGUCCCUGCAGUUUCAGCACAUUAUUAGAUCAACAGAAGGCCGUAAAAGCACAAUGAAAGAUUGUAGUGUGAAGAGCAUACAAGAUUGUGAGGUGCACGAGCUCGCCAAUCUCUGAAGGGAUACCACCUUGCAGGUAGUUAGCUCUCAGGUAACUGAACAUAAACAGCAAGAAAAAGGUUCAAUCAUUGAUUUGAACAGCCUGACGAGUUAGCAGAACAAAUCGAGGAAACUAAACUAGUAUAGUUGGGAGUAGCUGCAAAAUCAUACUAGUAGUAGCUUACAUACAUUGCCCUCAGUUCUGUGCAGUUCUUGAUCUCUGCAGGGAUUGGGCCGUGCAAGCUGUUCUGGUGCAGAGCUCUGAAAAGGGAAAGGUCCACCCGUCCGUCCGUCCACAGGCAGCAUAAAUACAUGCACAAGCACAAAGAGAAAAGGACAAUUUCAGUUGGUAUUGGUUCUUUCUAUUUACACAUCUUAACACAAAAGGAAAAAAAAAAGAGCGAGAGAGAAGAAAAGCAUUUGGUCCUAGAAAUGGUGAAGAAAAUCUUACAUCCUCUGCAGCUUGUCCAGCCUCCCGAUGCUUGGUGAAAUGAUGCCCCCAAGCUGCAUGUAUGGGAGAUUUCUGCACCCAAAAGAAGACACACAUUAUUUUACUACUAUUCAGAUGCUGUAAAAAGGAGGGAACAAGGAAUCCAAGAAGAGGGCAUCGGUAGCCGAGCCAUCAUCACACAUUUGACAGUUCAUUCAAAUAAUAACCGAGGGAAGAGGGGGGGGGGGGGGGGGGGGGGGGAGAUUAAAAAUGUNNNNNNNNNNNNNNNNNNNNNNNNNNNNNNNNNNNNNNNNNNNNNNNNNNNNNNNNNNNNNNNNNNNNNNNNNNNNNNNNNNNNNNNNNNNNNNNNNNNNGGAGCAGGAGAUGCCCUCCCAGCCGCAGGGAUUGGGGUCGGAGGGCCUCCAGCUGGUGAGGCGCUGUGCUGUGGCGUUGAAGGCCAGCUUGAGCUCGAGCAGGGCCUCGCCUGCAAGCAAGAAUGAAGCAGGUGAGAGCUGGUUCCGGCAAUGUGGUAAAAAUAAUAAAAAAUGGACAUGGAUUGCAUUGCGGGACUGCAGAUCAGUACCGUCCGGGGUGAGACCCAUGGCGGCCGUGGAGCAGAGGAGGAGGAGGGCGGCCAGAAUGGUGAUGGCGGCGGCGCGCAGGCCCGCCGCACCAUGGCGGCCUCUCCCCUUGUUCCUCCUCCUGCUGCCAAUCUUGUCCAUGGUGGUGGUGGAGAGGGGGGAGGAGUGUUCUUGGCUUUUCUCGGAAGGAUGGCCUGUGGCUUCUUUGGGAGGUUUUGAAGCGAGUGGAGUGGGGAGUGGUGUGUCCGUGUGUGGGAGAAGAGUGAGCUGAGGACUGAGCUGGUACAGUGAGCGAGUCUGCAGCCUUGCUAUUACGAGCCUCUUCUGACCGGAAAAUAAAGAAAAGGCUGUCCGGACGUGCUCCCCGUGACUUGGGCCACUGAUUUGCGGGACCCACCCUCCGUGGACCCAGGUGUCAGGGAGUGGGUCCGCAUAGCACGGACCACGACGGACGCAGGCAGGCGUGCGUACGUGGUCGCGGAGACCCGAGAAGCUAUUGUUGGAUUUUAAAUUAAAAUCCUUGACUAAUCCACUAGCCGUACUAGCACGUAAUCUUGGCAUAAGGUUACUCUUUAAGAAAGGUGUCAUCCAGAAUUUCACGAUACGUGACAAGAUCAUUAAGGAAAAAUAGUUUCAACAUAUGUGAGAGAAGAAAACUUGAUAAACUGUUCAUAAAAUUGUGCAUUGAGAGUUGAGACUGACCUAAGCUCAACUUUUAUGCUACAACGACAUAUUGCUUUACUUCUCCUACCACUCACUGUAGGCAGUAGCAUGUACUCCUGGAAUUUAGUAGUAGUAUAUUUGUAGUAGGAAAAAACCCAUUUUUAACCAUCUAACUAUUUUUGACUAUUUUUGACCAUCGAACCGCAAAAUCAGAAAUCAUUGACCACUCAACUAUCAAAACCGUUCAUAUUUGACCAUCGAGCUGUUUUAUUGGAUGGUUUUGGUGAUGGGAGGCCAUGUGGCGACGGACCCAGCUGCCAACACCUCUCUCUCCUCUCCAUCUCUUUCUUCUAUCCUCUCCCUCUACUCCCACCCGCGCCAACCGCCGCCCUCCCCCACGCCUCCCCUACGCCAGCCGCCGUCGGAGCCCCUCGCUGCAAGCUGCCCGACCCUGCCCAAUGCCCAGAGCUCACGCCGUCGCCCUGGAGCAUAUUGGGAGGAGGGCAUCGUCGCGGUGCAGGGCGUGAGCAGUAGCGGCCCAGGUCAAGCUCAUCCUCGCGGCGCUUGUACCGAAGCCAUGCGUCGAGCACGACGCGCCGGUGCAGGGUCGUCCGUGUGGACGCGCGCGGCCUGCAGUGCCCGCCGGAGCAGUCGCGCGCCGCGAACCGACUGGAACAGCGCGUGCUGCAGCAGGUGCGGGGCUCCUCCGCCCUUCUUGGACUUGUGCUUGGAUGCCGGCGGGUGUGGCGAGAGCGGCGUGGAGGGGUCUUUGGCGGAGAACGCGGAGGCGGGGGUGGGAUCCGGGAGGGAGCUGAGGCGCUUGGAGGCGGCGCACACUUGGGCGAGCUCGGCGAAGCUCCCGACGGGUGGUCGGCAUGGAGGGCAGCGAGAAGGUGACGGUGGGGAGGAGCGGAGGCCAUUCUGGGCGGGUCAACGACUGCGGCGGAUCGGAGGGCUUCGUGCUGGUGAGGGCAGCGUUGGCAGUUGCAGGGCAAGUCGCCCGCCGCCGGCCUUGCCACGCCGCUCCUCCUUGAUGAGGAGGACGACGACGGUGGCGUCCCAUCCCGACCCUGCCAUCCCACUCCAAGGGGGUGUUUGGGACGAGGGGACUAAAUUUUAGUUCCCGUCACAUCGAAGGUUUGGACACUAAUUAGGAGUAUUAAACUAGAUUAAUUACAAAAAUAAUUACACAACCUCUAGACUAAGUCGCGAGAGGAAUCUAUUAAGCCUAAUUAGUCCAUGAUUUGACAAUGUGGUGCUACAGUAACCAUUCGCUAAUGAUGGAUUAAUUAGGCUUAAUAGGUUCGUCUCACGAUUUAACCUAGGGGUUCUGCAAUUAGUUUUGUAAUUAGCUUAUGUUUAGUCCUCCUAGUAUCCGAACAUCCGAUAUGACAAGGCUAAAGUUUAGCCCCUUGUAUCCAAACGCCCCCCAAGACAGAGGUGUGAGGGGGAAGAGCCUGACUUGACAUGUGGGUCCCAUCUGACUCAGCCCAGUGACAUGGCGUCCUAAUCCAAUGUGGGUCCCAUCUGACUCAGCCCAGUGACAUGGCGUCCUAAUCCAAUGUGGCAGUCAAAAUUACAUCGAUCCAGUCAAAAUAGGGCUCAAUGGCUAUUUGUAGAGGGUGUUUAGGAGGAGGGGGCUAAAUUUUAGCCUUCAUCACAUCGAAUGUUUGGACACUAAUUAGGAGUAUUAAACCUAGACUAAUUACAAAACUAAUUACACAACCUCUAGGCUAAAUCGCGAGACGAAUCUAUUAAGCCUAAUUAGUCUAUAAUUUGAUAAUGUGGUGCUACAGUAACCAUUCACUAAUGAUGGAUUAAUUAGGUUUAAUAGAUUCGUCUCGCGAUUUAGCCUAGGGGUUCUGCAAUUAGUUUUGUAAUUAGCUUAUGUUUAGUCCUCAUAAUUAGUAUCCGAACAUCUGAUGUGACAGGGCUAAAGUUUAGCCCCUGGUAUCCAAACGCUCCCGUACACGGUUUAUAGAGGUAAGUGCCAUUUGUACACGGUUUAUAGAGGUAAGUGCUCAUAGAUUUCUAGUUUUCGAGUUUGAUGGUUGAAACCAAACCGAUAGUCAAAAAUGGACUUUUUUUCCUUUGUAGUAUAUGAUAAAUUAUCAUGGUAAAAGUCUUUUGCCAUUCAUACAGUAGGUGUUUGUCUCUACACAUUAUUGUAGGCAGGACUGAUAUCAGGUGAAGCCGUGAAGGAUACCAGGCCAGAAAAACAGGAAUGGCAAGAACAAAUUCCGAAUGAAAACAAAUGUAAAAAACAGCCAGUAUUCGAAUGCAUGCGGCAGUUACAAAUACGUGCCAAAUCAAAUUUAAAGACAGUAUAGUGGCCACAGAGGGAAGGAAACCACAAAACACUCCGAUGCUAUGAUUCGGUUGUGCGUUUGAAUGUGUGCUUGGCAAGUUGGCAACACAACACACACCGUCUUGAAUGUGCUUCAUGAGAUGAGACUCUUGGGAUUGUCAUGUAUGUCGGGACCUGACCUGACCUGACCACUAUCUGCUGCUGCAUGAUGCUUCGUACGGAACGGAUGCCUCCAACCACAAACUAGCCGUUACGUUGAUGCAUGCUGCCAUCGGAAUAUCGAGUCCGACUAGUUUCAAAACGAAAACUCCGAAUUUUUUAACAGAAAGCUAAGGUCCUCGGAACAAAGGAUCUCAAAACGUAGGAAUAGAAAAAAAUAUAGAAAUAGAGUUGCAUGAUAUUUGCAAUCUUACAGGAAUUGAGAAUGCAGGAAAGUUUAUAAUUGUGUGUUUGGAUGCAACGUAGGAAAAACAAAGAAAUGAGAAGAGAGAUAGACACAAAGAAAAGUUUCCAAGUGGUUAGACUUCAUGUUAGAUUUCCUCCAAAAUUCAUAUGGAUUGAGCCAUUCCAUAGAAAUUUUGAAGGAUUAAAAGGUUGGCCAAUUCUUUGUUCAAAUCCUACACGAAUCCUAUGGAACAAAUGGCCACAUAGGAAAAAUUCCUAUAGAAUUCAAAUCCUACAACAUUUCUACAUGAAUCCUAUGUUCCAAAGGGAGCCUAAGAGGUGUCGGGCAUCAUGCGAGAGAUCGGGCUCGGAUGAGAGGUUCGGAGGAGGAAGGAAGGGAGGAGUAAGAAAAUCCUUGAACUCAAAUACUAGACAACAUGCAUCGGACAUCUCUUAAAACCAGACAAAUUAACCCCUUUUACCUAGUCAAAGCAGUUUAGGUGAUUUCGCUGACGUUCCAAUGGGUCUCGCAUGUUAUAAUUGACCUCAGCAGCCAUGUGGCACCCAACUCGUCCAUGUCAGCCCACUGCCACCUAAGCUUCCUCUUUCUAUCUUCUUUCUCCAUCCAAGCCGUCAGCCCAUUGCCACCUAACCUUUCUCUUUCUAUCUUCUCUCUCCAUCCAUGCCGUGCGGGCCCCUCUAUCAUCUUCUACCUCCAGCACACCAAUUUGUUCGCCAUUCCUUGUGGCACGAGCUCUCAAAUACAUGACCUUCCAAGUUCCAAGCACUCCACCGUGCACCUUGUAGAGAACAUGACCCCAUUGGUUCGUAGUUUGUGAUUUUGGCGAUUGAGUGACAACAUAGUUAUCGGGACUAAUUGUUUGUCAAGUAUAUGCCUUGUAGGUUUUCUAGGUCCCAAGUAUGCAAACCAAACCAUAGGCAAGGUCCAAAUCAUGGUAUUCAAGUAUGCAAACCAAACCAUGGCAAUGUCUAAAUCAUGGUAUUAAAGUAUUCAAGCUAGGGUAUUCAAGUGACCAAGCCAUGGCCCAUCGGAGUAAGCAUCGGAGCAAUUGGUCCAACAGGGAAAUCAACUUGAGUUCCAGGAAGCACCGGAUGAUUCGACGGUGGAAAUUUUAGUAGCGUUGGAGCAAUUCUCAGGAAAGGUAGAAAUUGACUUAUAGCAUCGGAUGUUCCGAUGCCCUAUGGAGGUGACCCUCGAACAAAGUAUAUUUACUUUGAGAAGUUCCAGUGAGAUUUUGGCCAGAAAACCAUCAGCACCAGAUGAUGCGAUGGGGCUGUCGGAUGAAUUCUUGAAGAAGUUGGGCUCAGGGGAGCCAACGGCUAGUUGCAUCGGAUGUUCCAAUGCUACCCAAAAAUAGGCCAUCGGAACAUCUGAUAGUAUACUUUAACUAGCCGUUGGAGCCGUGAGCAACGGCUCUUUAAGCUCUUGAGCUAUUUAUACCCCCUCCACUUGGCCAUUUGGAGUUGUUGGAUGAAGUUGAAGUGUGCAGGAGUCCAUUGAAGAGCAAGACACAUCAAAUACAUAUCCAAACCACCAAAAGUGCUUAAGUGAUCCAUCAAAGACUUAGCACAAGCUUAGUAAAAAUGAUUAGUGCUAGUAUAGACCUAGAGAAGAGAGAGUGCAAAAUGUGCCUAUCUUGUGAUCAGGUUCUAGAGUGAACCAAUUUUGUACAAGGUGUGCCGGCGUCUUGAAGGCUUAGUGGCUCACCGGUAAGUCAUGAGCGAAUGACUUUAUGUGUUUAUCGAGUGCUGUUUGUUUGUGCGAAGAAGGCAAUGACUGCACUUUGCUAAUUUUACAGUAUUGCAAAGCGCAUACAAGUAUGUAUUCGUGUGCACUAUUAUGCCACCAGCUUGAAAUAAUUCACUGCCUGCUUCCUGAAACUUGCUGGGUAUUUGUAGAAUCUUCCUUAGGGGUGUUUGGAUACACCUCCUAAAGUUUAGUACCCAUCACAUCGGAUGUUUGGAUACUAAUUAGGAGUAUUAAACAUAUACUAUUUACAAAACCCAUUGCAUAGAUGGAGUCUAAUUCGCGAGAUGAAUCUAUUAAGCCUAAUUAGUCCAUGAUUUGACAAUAUUCUGCUACAAUAAACAUAUGCUAAUCAUGGAUUAAUUAGGCUCAAUAGAUUCGUCUCGCGAAUUAGUAUAGGGUUCUGCAAUUAGUUUUAUAAUUAGCUCAUGUUUAGUCCUUUUAAUUAGCAUCCGAACAUCCGAUGUGACACUCCUAAAGUUUAGCACCUCGUAUCCAAACACCCCCCUAACCUCGAAGAGUCAUCUUCUGUGCACAAAGCAUCGCAAUUGCGAUAAUCAUUUCAAACUACUAAGUUAUUGUUUGAUUGUGGCUGGGUGUCAAACUGACUAUCUUUUUGCAUGUUGAUAGCAUGAAAUCAGUAACAAUUUAAUUGGCUACACCAUGAAGUUAUUGGUCCUUGGGCAUGUAUGAAUAAUUGAUCAGUAGCAACUAGUCAAAAUGCUGAUUGGUCACCGAAGAAGUAAUGCGCUAAAAGGAAGGCACAUUUGAAAUUUUGGCAUGGUCUUCAACUUCCAAUCAUGUUAAGGGAAAGUAAAGCAAGUUAAAAAUAUCAGUAUUAUCUGAAAAAGUAAAAUAUCAAUUCAAUAGAAUAGUCACUUAAGGGAAAAUUUUGUUUUGAAUAUAUGAAAUGGACAUAAUAGAAGAGAAUGGUCACAGAAAUGGCAUAAUAUCUCUCCAGGAUCAGUUAUAAAUAUCAUAGUUGCAGUUGGUAUGCAAAAUGCAGAACUCUCUUCCAAUCACAGGGAGAUAACUGCCAUGAUGUAGCUGUAUUAAUGGGAGAAAGUAUUAAUAUCCCAGCCUCCACAUCCAUUUGAUGCAAAAAUAAAAUAGUAAUAUAUCUCUCAUGAUUAUCAAAUAUAAAUAAAUGUCUGGUACAGAAUUUAUACUGCCUUUAACAACGUGCAUCAGAGCCUGUAUGGUAACUCAGACCUUGAUCAACGAUCAACACAGAAGGAAAAUAGCAUUUCCAUAUUAUGGUUUGGAUGCUGACAGUAAAUGAGGCAAACAUGUCCCAACAAUAGACAGGAUAUGGAAUCAACACUAGAUUAAUUGAAAUGAUUCUAAUGAAAACCCAAACUUUUUAUGCUACUAACCUGGUACUUCAUGUUUUGACAGCUCACUGAUUUCUACAAAUGAAUGGCAUAUUUCCAUGUCUUUGGUUUCAAUAACUUGGCACCUGGUAAUCGUUGAUGUUAGGAUUUAUCAAUAGAAAUCUAGAGUAUAACAUGAAAAAAAGUGUACGUCAAGCAGAUUCGAGUAUGCAUAUUAAAAUAUACAACUACCGAAUUGCAAAGAGAAAAACUCCAGUUUUUUCUGAAACAAAAAACAGAAAUAGUACAUUUUUGUGCAUCCAAAGGCGUGAAGUUAGCAAAAAACAUUAAAAGAAAGGUACCAGACAGUAGGCUCCUGGGACCUUUUAUUAUUCCACAUUUUGUCCUUUAGACAGCAAAAUUCAAUUAAAUUGACAAGUAAAAACCUUCGUUGCAUUGGCAACUUGGCAUCUCUAUUUGGGGUGUAACAUUAGGGAAAUAGAAAAAUAUCAGUUCAAUGCAAAUUGAAAACAAUCUAUAGUCGUGUUCUUAAUUGUCCAAGUGGGGAAGGAUCCCUUGGAUUUUUUAAAUUUCGUAUUGUGCAAGUGCUGAAACCAGCAACCCAUCAUGACAACUGCAUGAAAAAGUAACUUUGUGGGACACUCUUCAUGCUUUUUUAGUGAUUGCUGAGUUCUUUCCACUAUUCCUUGUCAACAAUUUCUGGGCACAGUUCACACCUAGGUAUAGUCUAUUAGACGCAAAUACUAGUAGCAGUUCACAGAAUAAAGAUGAACUGAAGACAGAAGUGGAGGACCAAAGAUACUCUAUUUUGCCUUACAUAUCAUUCUCGUUAAGCAGCUUCUUUAGUAGUCAUAUCUAUUUAGAAAUUCGAAAUGGAUAAUUAAGUAAUACAACUUGACAUGAUUAUACCAAGGCACCAAAAUUCUGUGGUCGUGUGCUGCACCUUUCUCUAAUGUAAAAAUAAUCACACCACGUCAUUCAAACUACUGCAGGGAUGCUUUAAGGCCACUGGUAUAUAUAUUUCUAGAAUGCGGGGUCUCAGGUUGAAGAGGAUAUAAUACACAUGAGCAGAUUUAUGCAUUUGAUGGUGAAACGACAAAUGAGUUUGGUGGGUACCUUCUUUAGGUUGAAAUGUGAAGAUCACGGAGAGAAGCGGCUGAAAUACACAUGAGCAGAUUUAUGCAUUCGUAACGAGCAUCCAAAUCUUUACGAAUGAGGGGCCUGUUCGCUUCAGCUGGCUUAUCAGCUACCAAACAGUGUUUUCCUCUCACAACAAAUCAGCCGUUUCAGCUUUUCAGCCGGCUUAUAAGGCCCUGUUUGGUAACACACCCCUAAACUUUAGUACCUGUCACAUCGGAUGUUUGGAUACUAAUUAGAAGUAUUAAAUAUAGUCUAAUUAUAAAACUAAUUGCACAGAUAGAGUCUAAUUCGCGAGACGAAUCUAUUAAGCCUAAUUAGUCCAUGAUUUGACAAUGUGGUGCUACAGUAACCAUUUGCUAAUGAUGGAUUAAUUAGGCUUAAUAGAUUCAUCUCGUGAAUUAGUAUAGGGGUUCUGCAGUUAGUUUUAUAAUUAGCUCAUGUUUAGUCCUCCUAAUUAGCAUUCGAACAUCCGAUGUGACCCUCCUAAAGUUUAGUACCUCGUAUCCAAACACCCCUUGAGCUGAAGCGAACAUGUCCGAGGUUGUCCAGUCUCUUCUUCAGGGAUGAAGGAAGCGGCUGUAUAGCUGGACAUGAUGUAAUUUGAAGAUCAUGGAGAGAUGAGUAUGCUUGUGGCCCAUCGGGCAAGGAUGCCAGGCUUUUGCAUUCACAAAGACUGAGGCGUUCCAGGGUUGAAAACUCUCCCAAGCAAGAUUCCAGUGAUCUCAACUCUGGGCAUACCGAAAUUAGUAGGCGUUGGAGUCCAUCCAGCUGGCCUGAUAGGAGUUGGAGUUUGCCACACUCCCAAAUUACUAUUUCCCUGAGGGAUGGGGGAAGGUUGAGAACCUCUGACAAGCUUUCGCACCGCUCUAUAUAUAGAUAUUCAAGACAUGGAAGUAGUAAGUGAUCCCGGGCAGCGCUGGGCCCUUGAUUUAAUGUUGGCUCGUCCUGUUGCUCUCCGAAUAUGGACUUAAGCUUAGGACAGCCGCGCAAAUCCAUCGUCUUGAGAGAUGCGGGGACGUUGAAGACCUCUACCAGACUUUCACAAUCCUCUAUGUGUAGAGACUCGAGACGGGGCAGAACUUGGCUCCUUUCUGAUAUUGGUUGGCCAGGAGCAGCUUUCGCGUACCCAAUCAGACCACGGCACUUCUUAAUGGAAAGGUGCCUCAAGGAUACCAAGCUAUGGAACUCUUUUUCCGGCCAGUAGACAAGCGCAUGGUUGAUCUUCUUAAUUUUCAAACGUUGGAGCUGGACAAAACAUGUCCAUAGUGCCAGUGGACUUGAGGGGAACAGAAAGUUGCAGCCACUUAGCUUCAGACUUGUCAGAGGGUAUUUAUUACUGGCGUCCAGCAGCUCAAAGGCACUAUGCCCAGUUGGUAAAGUAGUUUCUGUGAAUUCGACUGAUAACACCAGUUCGGACAAUGAGUUAAUAAAUGUAGGCACUAUUAUUGCUGCCAGUUGGCUGCCAUGUAUUUGUAAUACACCGAGCUUUGGUGCUUCUAUCACCCCCGGUAGAGUUGUCAACUUGGGACAUUUCUUUACAGACAGGGUCUCAAGGUCAGGGAAUCUCUGCUCUUCCAUCAUCCCCAAGCUCUUAAAACUAUCUAAGUCUUCUAACAAGAGCUUCUUUAAGUUUGGAAAUGCUGACCAUGCUGUAACAUCACUAUGGUCAAAUGAUUCUCCCUGAGAUGUAGCUGAUGGUAAUGCUGCCAGUUCGGGGCACUUUUCGAUUGAUAACUCUUCAAGAUAUGGAAAUAUUAUCUGCUGCCCUUGAGUUGCUUCAGCAGCGCCCCCCCACCUCUGAAACUUUGCUAAGCAUUCUAAUUCGAGUACCUUCAGGACUGGAAAUGCCGACCAAAGCUUCCUCUCGUCUUGCUCCUUGUAAUCUCCACAGCACGAUCCUCCGAGAAGUGCUGGCCCUGGUAAUGCUGUAACCUUUCCACAAUUGCUAAUAAACAACCUCUCAAGUUGAGGAAACAUUAUCUGUUCUCCUUGGACCCAGUCAAAUUCCGGCAGUUUGUCCAGCGUAAGCUUCUUCAGAUUAGGAAAGUGAAAGAAUGUACCACCACUGCACAAGCUUUCCAGUUUUUUCAAUCUUUCCAGACGAAGAACUUGUAGAGCUGGUACACUCCCAAGUGGAGGAAGCUUAUGGGACUUGUUACAGUUAGAAAGAUGAAGCUCCACCAUUUUUGUCAGCGUACCCAUCCACGUUGGGAAACUGGUUCCUUGGUAAUGCUCUAUCCUCAGAGCCUCUAGUCCAGGAGGAGCUUCGAGACCCUCCAGCACCUUAUGACAAUGUAGUUUCUCCUCCUGACUACCUGUCCACGUCCAGUUUAAUGACAAUUCCCUGAGCUCCUUUUUAUUUCCAAGAUUGGCCUGUUUUGCAUCUGCUGCAUUUGUCACAUUUUCGAGUUGACUAAGCAGUAGUGGACCACCAAGGUUGUUUAAAUGCUGCAGCUCUGCAAUACUACUGCAAUCAGGGCCUGCACCCACUACAAAAUUUGUAAGUGUUUGCAGGGAAGUGAGAUGUCCAACCUCUGGCGGCAUGCGCUUCAACUCCCAACAUUCGUGAGUGUAGAGGUGACGGAGGGCAGUCAUGUACUUUAUUCCCUUUGGAAGCCGGCCAAGUUUGUGACAGUGCGCCACAUUCAACGUUUGCAGAUUGUACAAAAUGCUGAUAUCUUCCGGAAGUGCCACUAUAUGACUCCACGAGAUAUCAAGAUACCUCAAGAGAUGUAGCUGCUUUGGUUUCAGUAGGAUUGUGCUAUUAUUCUGACAAAGUUGCAAUGCACGCAGAGAGCUGUAUUUUGCGAGAUGCUGCAGGGAACUUUCUAUGCGCUGACCACAUAGUAGUGUUUGCAUAGCUGGAGACCUUAUAUUCAGAGAAUCAUUCAAAACGGCCUCUGGCUUGCCACAUGAUAACAAUAUAUGACGACAAGUGUUCUGAAGAAACUCAUCACUCUGCUUUGGCUUCUCAGUUAUGGUAGCAACUUCUUUGCCCAUGACAGAUAGUGCCACAUCGUGCAUAAGAUCAUGGAUUUUACAUGUACUUGUAGACAAAUACCAAUACACAUCUUCCCAUGCUUUCCCAUUGACUUGCUUCACAUCUUGAAAGAAUGACCUUGAGACCAGCUCACUGAAAAUCUGUUUACCAAUUGUUUCAUGACGAACAUCUUUUUGUUCAGGAAUAAAGUCAUUUGCCAUCCAUAGUUGGAUCAGCAUUUCCACGUUAAUCUCAUGGUCCUUGGGAAACACAGCACAGAAAGCAAAGCACUGCUUCAUGUGUGAUGGCAGGUCAUCGUAACUGAGCUUGAGAAUAGGCAGGAUUUGAUCAUCCUUGUUAUGGGCGAUGCUUUUGCUAAGCACAGCCUUCCAUUCUUCCGUUAUCUUGCCACGUAGUACAGAUCCUAGUGCCUUCGCUGCCAAUGGAGACCCUGCACAUCUCUCAACAACGUCAUCAACCAAGCCAGCUAAAUCAGUUGGUUUUCUCUCUUGCGAAAUGAAUGCUUUAGCCUCAAUAAUUUCCUUGAUGAAUUUAUUGUCCAAAUGUGCAAUGUCAUGUCCUUUAACUGUACCCAUGAGUUGAGCUAUUUUUUUAUCACGGGUUGUCGUUAGUAUGGCGCUACCAACAUCACCAUGUUUAAGACAGACAUUCAGCUUGUUCCACUUGUUAUCAUCCUUAUUCCAGACGUCGUCCAAUACAAGAAGGUACCUGUUACAAAUAAUCAUGCCAUUAGUGCGUUUCUAUUUGAGCACGUCUUUUUCUUAAGUUAUGUGAGAUGUGCAAGUGCCGUGCAUAUCCAGAGGGCAACUUGCCAGUGGUGAGGUAUUGUUGUCUUCUUGAUUUCAAUGCUGGUUGCUGGGACCUCAAAACAAGAGGCGUGGUUAGCUUUUGCAGCUCCUUAGCGUGAGUCGAGGGAGCAGAAAAAGAUGAAAUGUUUUUUUUACUGCUGACCUUUUGAAGAUCUAUUCACCUAAAAUUUUCGAUCAAAUGAUUCUAAAAUUUUCUAUUCACAUGUGAAUGUUCAAGAUCGGAUGUUUUGCCUUAAUUAAAAAAAAUGUUGGAUGUUGCCUUCUAUGUGUACGACUUGACAUGAUGUGUGCGUGUACAUUUUUCAUAGUUUCUUCAAGUGUAUGAAGUUCACUAGCACUAGCAAUUAAAAGUCUAUGUGGAUCUAAGUUUGAAGUUGAAUUUUGUGUAUGUAGUUUGCAUGUGCUUUACUUGUCCUUUUUAAUUAUGUGUUAUUCUCAAGGGCAAUGCACAUAUUUUGAGCGUGUGUGAGGGGAAAAAAACCCGUGUGCGUGUUUGAGAUGAGUGAAUCAACAUCAAUUUAAUAAAUUCUAAAAGUACCUCUUUCCAGCAAGUUUUCUUUGAAGGUUCUGCAAGGCACUCUCCAGGUUGCUCUCAGAAGCGUUGCAGAUCUUAUUGGCAAGGUUACAAACAUCGAAAUCAUCAUCUGACACGCAGACCCACUUCAUUAGUUGGUGGAAAUGCUUCUUCACUUGAGGGUCAUUAUAGAUGAGCUGAGCUAGGGUGGUCUUGCCCAACCCACCCAUUCCAACAAUGGGAACGACCAUCGGAUCCUUAUUGUUAGCUUGUUCUUUGACCAACAUUCUAACAAUCUUUUGCUUCUCUUCAUCUCUGGAUCUGCUGACAAUCUCUGGGUCAACCAUGGUGGAGUCAUUCUCACGCAGAUAAUUUAUCUGAACCUGCGCUUGUGGCUGUUUGUCGAACCCAAAGUUGCGCAUAUGCUCGACAAGGGCCUCAGUAUCGCGCACAAUCUUGCGAAGCUUGUUGCCCAUCUUGUAACGGAACAUGAUGCGGUUGCCCAUCCCGAGCUCGAUGUAGCGCCCCUCUUUCUUGGCUUGACGACGGAGGGCCUCAUAGUUGAAUUCAUCGAAGACUUGGAUGGCCUCGUAUGCCGCCACCUUAAGCUUCUCAAGCCAGGGUCUGAUUGCUUCUCUGGAGGUUGCCUGCUUCUCUGCGUCAGUGAUCUUUUCCAGGAUGGCCGGCAGCAUGACCUUGAGCUUCUCAUGCUGCUCCUCCAUGCCCUCCAUCACCUUGUACUGGUCUAGGAGGUAGCUGGACGCCUUCUCCUUCACCAGGGACAGAAGUGGCCCGACCACCAUGCUGCCCACAAGCUCGGCCAUUGGAGCAGUCAGAGCUCACGAGAACGCACGCUGAGAAAUGAGAACACACUUUGGAGUGGAGAAGAGGAUGGUUUGCGGAAGCGCUUUGGAGGUAAAUGGAGACCAACGCCAAGCACUGACCUUCUUGGGCGCCUAGGCUGACAGAGCAGCAGUAGCAGAGGCGGGGCAGUAGCGGUCGCAGCGGAGGGGCCGGCGGCGUACGGGAAGAGAAGAUAGAGAAGAGGAUAUGUUUCUGCAAGACUUGCAAUGGCAGAAGGAGAAGACUAGCAUGGAAGACUUGUGCUCAGCUCACAACAGGAGCCAUAAAAUAAGCAAAGGAUCAGAAGAUGAUAGACAAGUCCAAGCUAUUUUUAUAAGCUGAUGAUGACAGGUGUGGAUGCUGUUGGCUGUGCUUGUGAAGCUGCAGUGUUUCUGUUCACAUCUUAAGGUAAUACUCCUACUUAAUAGUCACAUCCUGGUUUAGUUAUGCUAAUGAUGGAUUGAUCACUGAACAAACGUGUUUACCGGUGCACAGUGUUCAGGUAGCCAUGUGUGUUCAAAGACCAUAUAAGGUCAUGUUUAGUUUUCCUCAAAAUCCCAAAUUUGACACUAUGCAAAGAAGAUUCCUCAUCACAUUAAACUUGCGAUACAUGCAUGGAGUACUAAAUGUAGAUGAAAUCAAAAACUAAUUGCACAGUUUUGUUGUACUUUGCGAGACGAAUCUUUUGAGCCUAAUUAGUCAAUAUUUGGACAAUAAUUCACAAAUACAAACGAAAUGCUACAGUUGCGCAUUUAUGACAAACUCCCAACUUUGACACUCCCAAAUUUGGAACUAAACAAGGCCUAAAUGUUCUGCAUUCUGGAGCAGCCUUUUGCAUUUCCUCGGGUUGCGCUCACAGGGAAAAAGCGAUACCAUUUAUCUAUUGGUCGAGUCACAGUCUUCCAUUUCUUCCACCCAACUUUGGCACUAUGCAAAAAGAAAAUUCUCCAUCACAUCAAAUUUGCGGUACAUGCAUGGAGUACUAAAUGUAGACGAAAUUAAAAACUAAUUGCACAGUUUUGUUGUACUUUGCGAGACGAAUCUUUUGAGCCUAAUUAGUCAAUAUUUAGACAAUAAUUCACAAAUACAAACGAAACACUACAGUGUCGCAUUUAUGGCAGAAUGCUAAUUUUGCCACUCCCAAAUUAGCAAGUAAACAAGGCCCGAUGACUUGGACAAUAAUGAUGUGUACGGUGUACCUACCACUUUUAUUUCGUCGACAAGGUCUCUUGAAUUUAUUUUAUAAAAUUAUUAAUGUGUUAAAAUUUAACUAGUGCCUCACCUUUUCAAAAUGGCACGAUUUGCUCGGUUCCACGAGCUAAAAUUUAGAUAUCCAAUGUUUAGAUACUAAUUAGGAGUAUUAAACAUUUAGACUAAUUACAGAACCAAUUGCAGUUAAUUCACGAGACGAAUCUAUUAAACCUAAUUAAUUCAUGAUUCACGAGACGAAUCUAUUAAACCUAAUUAAUUCAUGAUUACCAGGUUGCUAAUCCGAAGCAUGACAGUAAGAUCAUUGAUAUAUCCGAACCUGAGAACGCACGCUGAGAAAUGAGAACACAGGGAAACACUUUGGAGUGGAGAAGAGGAGUCUGCGGAAGCGCUUUGGAGACCAACGCCAAGCACUGACCUUCUUGGGGCGCUUAAUUUAUUGGUUGUAUCGAAAGCCGUGAUGAUAUUAUUUUGUAUUACGGCUUUCCAGGUGAACUAUUAUAUACAAGUCGCCUUAAAGCAUCAUUACGGCUUUAGAUAGUAAUAUCAAUAAUAUCAUCACGGCUUUCCAUGUGCCAUCACGAGGGUACAGCCUGGUUCACGCCCGUGCCGCUAGGUCCCAUGGCAACGGUGUUGCGUUGUCAGACUUCUGAUCAUUCACUUCAAAAUUCCAACUUUGGCACUAUGCAAAAAGAAGAUUCCCCAUCACAUUAAACUUGUGCUACAUGCAUGGAGUACUGAAUGUAGAUAAAAUUAAAAACUAAUUGCACAGUUUUGUUGUACUUUGCGAGAAGAAUCUUUUAAGCCUAAUUAGUCAAUAUUUGGACAAUAAUUCACAAAUAUAAACGAAACGAUACAGUGUUGCUAUAGUAAUUUUGGCACCCAAAAUUGGGCAACUAAACACGGCCUCAAUUUCCAUGUUCACCGUCACAACACAGUUGAACAGCCACGGAAUAUUCAAGAGGCAAUAAUAGAAUGCAGGAAUCAGUCACUCUCUGUACCAGCUGCACGAGUCACUGUCAUGUGGACUGAAACAAUAAUCGGCGAAGGAUCAUUGAUGAAGCAGAUGUGGCCUCAUUAUUGCUCCCAGCGUCCUUGCUGAGGGAGAGCCGUCAACAACAGCGGGUCUACAUGCAUGUGCUGCCUUGUCACUAGUAGGUCCCAUGGCAGUACUAACAACAGUGUUGCGUUGUCAGCGUGCGAGGACUUCUGGCGCCACUUCUGUGGACGGUAGUGCCUGGUUAGGGCGAGCCAAUGAGCUGGCAUAUGCAUGUGUCGCCUUGUCACUACCUCAACGUUGCAGGUGUUGCACGGUUACUGUCACGUACGAUCAAUCAUGAUAACAAAUAAAAUAGAAAGCUAAGGACAUCUUUAAAAAGGAAUCUCAAAAUGUGGGGAUAGGAAAAACGUAGGAACGCAUGAUAUUUGCAAUUCUAUAAAAAUUGAUAAUGUAUAAAAAUUUGUAAUUGUGUGUUUGGAUGCAACAUAGGAAAAACAAAGAAACGAGAAAAGCGAUAGACACAAAGAAGAGUUUUCAAGAGGUUAGACAUCAUGUUAGAUUUUCUCCAAAAUUCCUAUGGAUUAAACCAUUUCAUACGAAUUUUGAAGGAUUAAAAGGUUGGCCAAUCCUUUGUUCCAAAGGGACAUAAGAAAAAUUCCUAUAAAAUUCAAAUCCUACAAAAUUUCUACAUGUAUCCUAUAUUCCAAAGAGGGUCUAAGAGGGGUCGGGCUCCAUGCGAGAGAUUGGGCUUGGAUGAGAGGUUUGAAGGAGGAAGGAAGGGAAGAGUAAGAAAAAUCUUGAGCUCGAAUACUAGACAACACGCAUCUAACAUCUCUUAAAAUCAGAUAAAUUAACCUCUUUUAUCUAGUCAAAGCAGUUUAGUGAUUUCAUUGUGAAGGACCGAAACGGCGACCAGAGGGGGGUGAAUGGGCGCAAGUUCAAAAAAUAAAGUUUAACACUUCCCCUCCUCUCAAAACCUAAUUAAAUCACGUUUUUCAAAUCUGGACAGAAUACUGUUUCCUUAAUAAAAAAGAUAUGGACAAAAAUCCGUAAGACCGAUCAACCUAAAAAUUUGACAGAAAAAUUCAUACAAAAUUAUGCAACUAACCCAACUGGAAUCAUGUCAAUCGGACUUUCGGAUCUUGAGAUAUUAAAGGAACAAGCAGACUGUACCAGACAAUGACGAGAAUAGAUUAAGCUCUAAUAAGAUGCCCUAGCAUGAUUUUAGAUGGAUCAAAUCAAUCUUAACCUCAGCACAACAUGACGCACAAGCACAUAGAUUAAUUCACUAAUAUGAAAAAUUGAGACAAGUAAUGUGCUUACAAAAGUGCAUCUAGCCUCCGCCCAAACAUCCUCCCUCUCUUAAUUGGAGAGAUCAAUAAAAAUCCCUCACUUAGAUUGAAACCCUAGGCUAGACUAGAGAGAGAUGAACAGGACCUGCGACGAUGAACAGUACCGCGCGUGAACAGUAAUCGCGAGUUACUGUAGCGCCGAGUACUGUAGCGCCGCCUGUAGCAAAAGGGCUCAAACUCUCUCAACCCUAGGUGCCACGUAUUUAUAUCCUUAGGGUGGCACGGCCUAUUUACACAUAACCCCCUACGCUAAAUUUACGCUAAAUAAAUUUAACGUAGGUGCGUAAAUUCCAGUUACGUCCUCCAUGACAAAUUCCGCGAUGUCCGCGAUUCCUCCAUCUCCGUGAUGUGAUCCUCGCGAUGUCGCCGCACGACCAUCUGAAAUCGUAUCGCAAUCGCCGGAAUUUCCAUCUUCGGCCAACGUGUGGCGGAACCGCCCAACUUAAGCUGGUUUAAGUGCGCCUAAUCGCUGUCGGAGCAGCGAUUAUCCGAAACGCACCUAAAACAGCAUAAGUCCGGUAGUCCGUCGAGUGUCCCUAGGACUCCUCAAAAGAUCCACGGCUUGUUUCAUCACCAUACAUCAGGAUAAUAUCCGCGAUGGGAUAAUAUCAACAAAUAUUACAUUUUUACAUACGUAAUUAAGAGGUACGAGUUAUUACAAGACUUCAAGUUGAAACAAACUUAGUGAUGCAUAGUUAGACAAGCUCUAAGAUUAAACAUAAGUAGUUUAGGAGAAGAUGCGUCGAUAACGGUUUUCUAGAGUAUUGAGAGACUCAGGUCAAUACUCUAGGUCUUCGGGGUCUCCUCUUCGACAGCUUCUUGGGUAGCUUCUGAAAGAUAACCACAAGGGGAAAACCCUGAGUACGGGGUACUCAGCAAGUCUUACCCGACUAACCAAUAUAAUAGUUUUUCUUUGGAAUGCAUGUCAGCCUUUGGGUGUGCUUGGUUGACAUGAUUUUUGCCGAAAAAGCUUACUAUGAGUGAGGCCUUAGUUUUGUCUUUUAAUUUAGUUAAGUUGUUACCUAACCAUUCUAGGUGAUAACAGAAGUAAAAACAAUCACAGCUGUUGAUUCAUACAAUACUUGGCAACAGAAAAUUUUAUAUCACAUGAGUUCAUGCUACGAAGCUCAACAGUGAUCAAGUGCAUUCAUAACCGAGAAUUGCGGCGAUCCGGAUCAAUUUACAUCCUGCAGGAGAGUACCCCGAUCACCAGCAUUAUACGACUGUCCAGGUCGUACUAGCAACCUCUCGGUUAGUAAAGUCAAUGAUUAGGAACACAACUACCCGGACCCAGGGAUGCACCCCCACAUGGGACCCCACGUCUGGCCCGAUCUCCAUGUGAGUUUCAGGCUACACCCCUGCCAAUCUCCAGCACGUCAAAUGCGGGUACGAAGCAUUCCUGAUCAUAGAAUUUACUAACCUACUGGGCUUUACUGGUCCCAUACCCAGUAAGUGAUCAGAUGUUAUCACUUGAUCAGCGGUUAAGACACGGCCCGGUCCUUAAGCAGAUUAAUAAGCAGACAGAACUACAUCUCUAGCUUCUGUCUGGUUCUAUACUUCAAACUAUCUUUCCUAAACAGCAUGUAUGAUCAAGAGUUUUCCCUAAGGUUGGUAAACCAAGCAUGUAAGCGAGUAAGCAAUUCUAGACUUGGGUAGUUUCUAGGAUUUGAACAAGUGGCAAAGAUGUCCCUAAUUCAAGGCAUGAUCAUACACAAGAAUAGGUUUCAUCCAACUCCUAGACCUAGUGCAUACAAUAACCAAUUAACCUACAACUAGUCACAUGAAAUAACGACUCCAAAAUAGAUAGGUAUAAAUGCACCGGGGCUUGCCUUGAUCGUUAAAAAGAUUAGUAGACACCGACGGAUUCGCUUCACAGGGAACAAAUUCAAACACCUCGUCGGACUCCAAAGGUCCUUCUGAAAAUUCCCAGUAAUCCUCUUCUGGCGCUUCUGGAUCUAUGGUACAUACAUGCAGGGGUUAGAAUGCAAACUUUUUAAAUAACAGACUUUACAACUUUCCUUCAUGAUAAAGUUGCAAGCCAACAAAGACUAUACGACUUAUCAUGAAUAAGUUGUAAGUCAACACACAAAAGAAAUCUAAGAAGAUUAACCUCUAUUUUUAUUUUCUUAAUUACCCCUUCCUAUAGCUUUUUCUUUUAUUUUUAGAAAAAGUGGUAAUUACUUUCUAACUUGAACAUCUAAUUUCCUAUGAGUUAAGAAUUAUUUGUGAUUGAUAAAGUAUUAUUCAUAUUUUUAUACAUUUUAUAAAUACUAAGUAUUUACUUAAUUACCUUAAAAGGAAGGCAUUAAAUAAAUACCUAAUUUUUUUAUUAUUUUCCUAGGGUGUAAAAAUUUUAAUGCAUAAAGGAAAAUAAAACAAACCUAACAAAAUUGGUUUCACUAAUUUUGGACACUCCUACAAAUUUCUGUGAUUAAAAUGGUGUAAAACGAAUUUAAACGGAUUAUUUUGCUAAAGAAAUCUAAUUUUUCCCCGAAAUUCCCCCGGAAAACUUUUCUCACCCACCCACACUCUACCCUCACACGCGAACACUGGGCCUCCCCACGGCGCGGACCCCACCUUCCUGUUCAAUCUACCCGCCGGCCUUAACCUCCUUCCGACGGGCCUCGCGGGCCGAUUUCCUCUUCCCUUAUCUCCUGGUAGCCCAGCACCGGCCCACGGCCCCUUUUUCCUUUCCUUCCUUUCUCACGCGACGCCGGCCUGCGUCGCUGCCCUGGGCCUCCGGCCUUUUCUUUCCCGGUCACCCGCGCGCACCACUGGGCCUCAACACGCCGGCCCAAGACGGCCGCACCGCUCUGGCCCGCGCCUUCCUCCCCUUCUCUCUUACUGACAUGCGGGCCCGGUGCACAGCACCUUCUUCCUCCUCCCGCCAAAAGGGCGACCGGAACAGGGGGCGGCGCGGCUCGCCGGCCGGCGCCCUCCCGGCGGCGGGUCUUGACGACGACACCAACCCUAACCCUACACGACCUCGCGCGCGGCGACAGCUCCCCUGGGGACAACCGGAGCUACCUCCUCCACGGCGACGGGCGGCAACACCCACGGCCGGCCAUCGUUACCCGUGACAACUACUUAACUGACUCAACCGACUACUUCUACUCCAUCCUGAAACCCUAAGAACUCGACCACGACUGCUCAAGGAAGAAGAAAAGUAGUGCAAGGUGGUUCUCACCGUGAGUGGGCGGCGCGACGGCGGCGGACAGAAGCGGCGGCGAUACAAGGUGUCACGGCGAAGAAGCUGGGCAACAAGUGGGUAGGGCUACUGGUGGGGUGUAGGCGGAGGUGUGGACGGAAGGAAUCGACGGGAGCGGCGGCGUGGAGGUGGAAUUUUGCUUGGCGGCGGUGUCUGGUAGAAGAGGCACGGGCGGCGGUAAAAAGAGCGGCGGUGAAAACGGCGGCGCGGGAGCGGUAGAUAUUCAAGGGUUUCACCGCGCGCAUGGGUGACACCGUGGCCUACCCGUAGGUGUAUGUGGCGAGGAGGUGGCCUAGCUUAGCUGUGCUGGCGGACGACCGACGACGGCGGCGGCGACACGUCUGGAGUUCCUGUCACUGCUUCUCCCGCCCGUGAUCUUCAGAUGCCAAUCGUGGUUGAUCCUUGAUCCAACGGCACACCGAUGUUUAAAGGAAGUUACAGAUAAACUUGAAAUUUCCAUCUUUUGUUUUGACUUCACCCCGAGAUAAUCAUCAAACCGGUGGAAUUUGGAGAUGUUGCUCGAGUUGAUUCUGAAUCGACUGAAUCAAAAGUUCAGUUCGUCAGUCACCGACAGUAGUGCCGACUUCAACUUGCCAAUCCAAUUCAGUGGCCUAAAUCUGGCGUUUCCAACUCAACUUUUACCCAAACAUGCUCUAUAUUGUCCCAAUGUUCCAUUUUGAUCAUAAACAAGUACCCUCCUUGAUCUAAUUUGCUCUGAAAUUGAAUUCAAAGUUGAUGCCUAGCUGCUGUUCAGACUUAGGCAUUUUUCAGAGUUUCAGUUAACUCGUGAUAAUGUGCUGACUUUGGGCUGGAAUUUGACUCCCUUCCUCUUACUGAUCCUGGCCAACAAUACAUGAUUAUUGUAGUCCAAAGUCUAUAUUUCAACAUGGUAUAGUUGUUCUGGUGCACUUAGUUGCAAAUUCUUCCAGAAUUAAAUUUCCAAAUCAGACUCUGAGCUGUUUUUACUGAAUCCUGUUGUCGGACGAGGAAUAGUAAACGGCUUUUUCUUCUUCUUUUCUCUGAUUCUUCUGAGAGAUUUAGCACUAGCUUGGUUCCAAAUUUUUGAUCCUUUAGUCCUAAACACUCUUAUACUUGUACUCCACACAUUUGACAAAUUUUUCUGAAUUUCAAAUUUGAAAUUCAAAUUUCGGUCAAAAUUUGGCCGAAUUUGACCCUUUUGCCAUUUUUCCUUCUUUUUCUUUUGAAUUUUCUUCUGAAUUUUUCAUGGUUACUAUAUUAUUAUGAAUGGCAUUUAUUACAGCCUCUCCCCCUUAACAGAAUCUCGUCCCGAGAUUCCUGGGGGUAGAUCCUUGUUUUUUUUUUUGAAUGGAAAGGGAACUGCGUCAGGUCAUUUAUCCUUUCUUUUUCUGUACAAGGAUAGUGGGGUGGUGGUCCUUGUUCAUUUGUCCCUGACGGUUUCAAACAACUCCGGAUAUUUAGACUCUAGGUCUUCCGCUUUUUCCCAAGUAGCUUCGUCCGGAGUAUGAUUUUUCCAUUGCACUUUAUAAAACGUGAUACUCCGAGUUCGGGUAUCGCGUGUCUUUUGAUCCAUAAUUCUAAUAGGUUUCUCCUCAUAUGUUAGAUCCGGUUCGAGCUCAAUUUCUGGAUCCUCCAAAAUUUCUUCUGGAACUCUUAGGCAUUUCUUAAGCUGGGAUACAUGAAAUACAUCAUGUAUAGAGGUAAGUUGAUCAGGCAACGAUAGUUUAUAUGCCACGGGACCUUUUUGUUCUAGAAUUUCAUAGGGGCCAAUGUAUCUCGGGGCUAGCUUACCUUUUAUUCCAAAGCAUUGUACGCCUUUCAUUGGGGAUACUUUUAAGUAUACAAAAUCUCCGGCAGAAAAUUCCAAGAACCGUCUUCUUUUAUCGGAAUAACUCUUUUGCCGGGAUUGAGCUAUUUCCAAAUGCUUGCGAAUUUUCUGGAUCUUUUCCUCGGUUUCCAUAACCAAGUCUGAUCCUAGAUGUGUCCUUUCUCCUACUCCUGACCAAUUUAAAGGAGUUCGGCAUCUUCGACCAUACAAGGCUUCGAAUGGUGCCAUCUUAAUGCUAGCUUGAUAGCUAUUAUUAUAGGAGAACUCAGCUAGGGGCAAACAUUCGUCCCAUAGCUUAGAGAAAGUAAGGACACAUGCUCUUAACAUAUCUUCCAAAAUUUGAUUAACCCUUUCUGUCUGUCCUCCAGUUUGAGGAUGAUAAGCAGAACUUCUAAUGAGGGUAGUACCCAUGUCCUCUUGCAGUUGCUCCCAGAAUCUGGAAACAAACUGGGAACCUCGAUCGGAAAUAAUGGUUUUUGGCACUCCGUGCAAAGAUACAAUCCGGGCUAUAUAGAGUUUGGCAUAUGUCGUCACGUGGUAAGUAGCCUUAACUGGAAUAAAAUGAGCUGACUUAGUAAGACGGUCGACAAUAACCCAAAUGGAAUCAUACCCCUUAGAAGUGGUAGGUAAUCCUACUAUGAAAUCCAUAGAAAUAUCUUCCCAUUUCCAGAUAGGAAUCUCUGAGGGUUGUAACAGACCUGCCGACUUCUGUAAUAUGGGUUUAACUCUUUGGCAAGUGUCACAUUCUGACACAUAUCUUGCAAUUUUUGGUUUCAUUUUGGCCCACCAAAAUCUUUGCUUUAAAUCUUGGUACAUUUUAUUGGUUCCGGGAUGAAUGGAGAACUUGGAUGAAUGUGCUUCUUCUAGAAUUAAUCUUCUCAGGUUUUUACCCUCCGGAACUACUAUCCGGUUCUUGAAAUAUAGUCCUCCGUCUUCUUCUUGAUGAAGUUCAGGAACCUUCCCCUUGGCUUUUUGCUGAUAAAGUGUUUUAAUCCAUGGGUCUUCUUUUUGGGCCGUUAUGAUUCUUUCUUUUAGGGUAUCUUGAAUCAUAACAUUCUGGAGGGUACCUGGUUUUACUAUUUCCAAACUUAAUUCUCCCAUUUCUUCGCACAGAGUCUUCAAGUUAGACUGAAUGGUCGUGCAGUGGCAUUGGGCCUUUCUGCUUAAGGCGUCGGCCACCACGUUAGCUUUACCAGGAUGGUAAUGAAUUUCUAGUUUAUAAUCUUUAAUCAGCUCUAGCCACCGCCUUUGCCUCAUAUUCAAGUCCAUUUGAGUGAAUAUAUACUUCAAGCUCUUGUGGUCAGUAAAGAUACGACAUUCACUACCUAAAAGAUAGUGUCGCCAUAUUUUUAGUGCAUGCACUACGGCAGCAAGUUCUAAGUCAUGAGUAGGGUAAUGCUCUUCAUGACGUUUCAAUUGGCGAGAAGCAUAAGCAAUAACCCUGCCUUCUUGCAUUAGAACACACCCGAUGCCUGUUCCUGAGGCAUCACAGUAUACAUCAAAGGGUUUCUCUAUAUCAGGUUGAGCUAACACUGGGGCUGUAGUCAAUAACUUUUUCAAGAUUUGAAAUGAUUCUUCACACUCUGGUUUCCAUUCAAACUUUGUAUCCUUCUUUAAUAACUCAGUGAUUGGCUUAGAAACUUUAGAGAAAUUGGGAAUGAACCUACGGUAAUAACCAGCCAUUCCCAAGAAGCUUCUUACUUCAUGAACAGAAGUGGGUGAUUUCCACUCCAAUAUAUCCUUGACUUUUCCGGGAUCUACUUCAAUUCCUUUUUCGGACAGUAUAUGCCCAAGGAAUGGAACUUUCUUCAACCAAAAUUCACACUUACUAAAUUUGGCAUAUAACUGGUGUUCCCGGAGUCUAUUUAGAACAAUGCGCAAAUGUUGCGCAUGUUCCUCUUCAUUUUUAGAAAAGACAAGGAUAUCAUCUAUAAAGACAACCACAAAUUUGUCCAGUUCCGGCAUGAAUACUGAAUUCAUGAGAUACAUAAAAUGCGCUGGGGCAUUUGUCAAUCCGAAAGACAUAACCAAAUACUCAUAUAGUCCAUACCGGGUGGAAAAGGCUGUUUUUGGUAUGUCCUCGGGUUUUAUCUUAAUCUGGUGGUAUCCUGACCGAAGGUCGAUUUUUGAAAAGACCUUAGCUCCAGACAACUGGUCGAACAACAAGUCAAUCCGUGGCAGUGGAUAUUUAUUUUUGAUGGUUACCGCAUUCAAGGGACGGUAAUCCACACAUAGCCUUAAGGUACCAUCCUUCUUCUUAACAAAGAGAGCUGGGCAACCCCAUGGUGAAGUACUGGGUCGGACAAAACCUUUAUCCAACAAUUCUUGGAGUUGUGUUUUUAAUUCUGCUAGCUCUUUAGGUGGCAUUCGAUACGGUCUUCUAGAGAUAGGGGCGGUGCCGGGUUCUAAUUCAAUAGUGAAUUCUACCGCUCUGUCAGGCGGUAGCCCAGGCAAAUCUUCUGGAAAUACAUCUAGGAACUCAUUAACAACAGGAAUAGAUUCUAGAGUCACUGCUCUAGUCUUUUUGACCAUUUGGUCCAAACAGGGUUGAACGGGUAACUGGAGUUCGAAAGAAUGGCCCUGGUCAUCUUUUAGGUUAACAACCCGUGUAACCACAUUAAUUUGAACUUCAUGUGCUUUCAUCCAAUUUACCCCCAAAAUAAUAUCUAUUCCUUGAUCUUCCAAAAUUAAAGGAUAAGCUCCCACCUUAUUUCCUUCUAGGUUUAAAAUCACAUUGCGAGCUACUUGAUUGGUAUUCUGUGUGGCACCAGUAGCUUGAAUAGCAUAUUUGACAUCUAAGGUAUGAACUUCUAGUUGAUGUUGCGUGACAAACUCUUUACUUAUAAAAGUAUGUGAUGCACCGGAAUCAAACAAAACCAUAGCAGGAUAAUUGUUAACAAGGUACGUACCUGCUAGGAUUGGUUCUCCUUCUGGAAUUUCUUCUACAGUCAUAUAGUGAGCCUGUCCUGUCUUGGUAUUAACAAACUUGCGACGGACAAACUUUUGUCCAGAGCCUUGGGCCGAGGUUUGAGCCUUUAAGUUCGCGUUUCCCCCAAUUUUGGGAAAACGACAAUCUCGGGCGAAAUGUCCUGGCUUCCCACAGUUGAAACAAACCUGUGGGGUUCCUGAAGGAGUAGGGUUACGAAACCCAAAAGAUGGUGCAGUUCCAGGACGAGGAGCAACACUGGGAGCUCUGGCAUUCCAGGACUGGAAUGGUCGUUGCUGGAAUGGAGGACGAUACAUGGGUCGGGGAGGACCUCUAUAUACCAUCCUCAUCCUCUGAGGAGCAUUUCCAAAAUUUCCAGAAGGAACAGCCUUCCUCUUUAAUGCUUCUUCUUUCUUUAAUGUUUCAUCCAAUGCUUUCAUCUUUUCUUCUGCGGUAAUGGCUGUGCUUACCGCGGAACUGUAAUUAGCGAACGUGCAGGUGGAUAACUUCUCUUGCAUUCUGGUAUUAAGCCCUCGGAGAUAACAAUCCCUCUUUCUGGUUUCAGUAUUAACAUGCUCUGGGGCAUAUUGAGCUAAGUGGUCGAACUCAUUGGUAUAUGCUAGAAUGCUGCGAGUUCCUUGUUGCAGUCCCAAGAACUGUUCCAGCUUCAUCCUCAUGACGCCCUCGGGUAUAAACUGCGCCCGGAAGGCUUCCUUAAAGUCUUCCCAUGUGACUUCCCUUCCCACUGGCUGCCUAGCCAGAUGACUGGUCCACCAAGUUGCUGCGGGACCUUGAAGCUGAAGCCCCGCAAACUCGGCCUUCUGAAUGGCAGUACAUUGGGGGAUUACUCGAAAUUUCUGCUCCAUGGCCUGAAGCCACUCAUUAGCUUCCAAAGGAUGCUCAGCUUUUAAGAAGACUGGGGGACGUGUUUCCAGAAAUUGGGUGUAGGACACCCCCUGCUCCGGCUCUCUUCUACGUCCACCGUUGCCGGUAUUCUGUACUAUCAUCUGGAGUAAGCGGGCUUGCUCUGCCCCAGAAUUCAUCAAACUAGCUAUUGCGUCAGCCAAUGUAGGUGCUCGGGGUAAAUCCUCUUCCUGUCCUCCGGAGCCUGAAGCUCGGGGUUCUCUGGGAUCCGUCAUGCUGCCAAGAGUAACAAGAUGUCAAUAUCUACGGUGCAUUCUUAUCAACAACUCUCUGCAUACUAACAUAUCACACAUCACAGUAUGCAUAUACACAAACCAUGCUUAUAUACAUACUUAUUUAUAUUACAUGCCUAGGAGUUAAUAUUUACAAAACCCCUUGGUGCCACUUGUUCAUCACUCAUAUCUUACAAGAAUAUAUUACAACAUGUUCCAACCAAGUUCAUGUCAACCGUCAUAAGGAAAAAUGCCCAGUUCUUCGGCAUUUAAGCCCAGUCGUGCCAUGGCUUCUUGCAGGACGUCUUGGUCCACGGUCAUCAAGGUUUGCCCUGGGGGAGCAACAGGUGGAGCUUGAUUGACAGAAUUCUCGCUUCCGGACUCUGAUCCGUAAUCACUCCAAGUGCGAGAAGUAUCAGAGGUGCUAAUUCCAGAAUUUCCUUCCAUCUCUUCUGGUUCCUCUUCUUCUUCGCCUUCCUGUUCUUCUUCUCCCCACUGUUGCAUGGGACCAUAGCCCUGAGGAUCUAGUCCAUCGGCAUUGGCAUUGGCCCACGCAAACUGCUGAUUACCCACAGGGACCUCGUCCUGAUCAUCUUCCAUAUCCACAUCAAAGCCUUCUAGAUUCUCGUGAGCAUAUAAAUCUAUUUCAGGAUCGGCCGGUGGCACUGGAUCUUCUUCCAUUUCUAGCACAGGCACCAACUGAUCUACUUCCUCCGGGUUCUGUGGUUGAGGCUCUUCUGGUGGGGGAGGUGGUGGAAUAUUAAUCAUAUUUUGUGCCGGUACUUGAGCUUGCAUUUCUUCUAGGGCUAGACGAAGUGACAGGAUUUCGUCUAGCUGCUGAAAUCUCUCCGCCUCCAGCCUGUGGACAUUGGAUUCAGCUUCUUCUCUUGCUCUAUCUGCCAUGCUUCGACUUGCUUCGAUGAACCCUUGCAGCGCCCGAAGUUUUUCUUCAUAAUCUUCAAUUCGCCUGGACUGCUCUCGCAUUGCUUUCUCCAUCUCGUGCUCCCUUGCCAUUGCUGCCUUCUUGUACAUUUUCUUGUCAUACCGGGCACCCAUUGCUUCCAUCUUAGUAUCUUCAUUCUUCUGUCUUUGAUUGUAAUACUCCCGGAUACAAGCUUGAUGUAGAUUGUACAUAGCGGUCAUGUAGUCAGAAGCAGCAGCUACCAACACAUCGUGCUCCACACGAGAUGUGUUCUUCAAGGCUUUGAUCCUCCGCUUCCAUACCCCGUCAUCUUGAUGCUUGAUUGGAUAUAAUCGAGCAGAGCUCGACCCUAUUUCCACUUUAUGAUUCUCACAUAGCUCAGUAAGAGCCGUCAUGGCUGCCCUUUCUAUAGUAUCAUGGAAUUCGAAACCCGAUUCCAUUACUUCCUCCAGGCGCCAAUUAGGUCGGGUAUCAUCAUCCGGAAUAUGCACAUACACUGUGCAAUAUUGCUUAUGUCCAGUAUCUUCCUUUCUCCAAUAAUACUCUGGGGAAUUAUGGAAACCCAACUCUUGUAGUGUCUUCCAGAGUAACUGUACAAACCCUGGCUUAUCCAGAUAACGACCACGAGUCCACCCAUCCCUAUCCGUGUAACCUUCUUCAAACAUCCUAUAAAAAGAAAAGAGAUCAGGUCUAGCGGCACUCACCAAACCCAAAAGUUUUUAAACAUGCAAUGCAUUUAUGAUGCAACGGUUCCUACGUACUUUCAGACUCAUAUACACACUCGUAGAAAAAUUGGUGGCAUCGUAAUCUCUCCCUAAUAAACUAUCGAAUACUAGCGACACGCAGCAAACAGUUAGCAUCUGCAAAACAAUCAACCGGUUAACACUACUGCCACCUGUGACUCUUGUUUUUAUUAUUUUAAAAUAGAGUCUCAGUAUUUGAAAAGUAAUAUUUGUUGAUUAUCCCAACCUACGGCUCUGAUACCAGCUGUGGCGGAACCGCCCAACUUAAGCUGGUUUAAGUGCGCCUAAUCGCUGUCGGAGCAGCGAUUAUCCGAAACGCACCUAAAACAGCAUAAGUCCGGUAGUCCGUCGAGUGUCCCUAGGACUCCUCGAAAGAUCCACGGCUUGUUUCAUCACCAUACAUCAGGAUAAUAUCCGCGAUGGGAUAAUAUCAACAAAUAUUACAUUUUUACAUACGUAAUUAAGAGGUACGAGUUAUUACAAGACUUCAAGUUGAAACAAACUUAGUGAUGCAUAGUUAGACAAGCUCUAAGAUUAAACAUAAGUAGUUUAGGAGAAGAUGCGUCGAUAACGGUUUUCUAGAGUAUUGAGAGACUCAGGUCAAUACUCUAGGUCUUCGGGGUCUCCUCUUCGACAGCUUCUUGGGUAGCUUCUGAAAGAUAACCACAAGGGGAAAACCCUGAGUACGGGGUACUCAGCAAGUCUUACCCGACUAACCAAUAUAAUAGUUUUUCUUUGGAAUGCAUGUCAGCCUUUGGGUGUGCUUGGUUGACAUGAUUUUUGCCGAAAAAGCUUACUAUGAGUGAGGCCUUAGUUUUGUCUUUUAAUUUAGUUAAGUUGUUACCUAACCAUUCUAGGUGAUAACAGAAGUAAAAACAAUCACAGCUGUUGAUUCAUACAAUACUUGGCAAUAGAAAAUUUUAUAUCACAUGAGUUCAUGCUACGAAGCUCAACAGUGAUCAAGUGCAUUCAUAACCGAGAAUUGCGGCGAUCCGGAUCAAUUUACAUCCUGCAGGAGAGUACCCCGAUCACCAGCAUUAUACGACUGUCCAGGUCGUACUAGCAACCUCUCGGUUAGUAAAGUCAAUGAUUAGGAACACAACUACCCGGACCCAGGGAUGCACCCCCACAUGGGACCCCACGUCUGGCCCGAUCUCCAUGUGAGUUUCAGGCUACACCCCUGCCAAUAUCCAGCACGUCAAAUGCGGGUACGAAGCAUUCCUGAUCAUAGAAUUUACUAACCUACUGGGCUUUACUGGUCCCAUACCCAGUAAGUGAUCAGAUGUUAUCACUUGAUCAGCGGUUAAGACACGGCCCGGUCCUUAAGCAGAUUAAUAAGCAGACAGAACUACAUCUCUAGCUUCUGUCUGGUUCUAUACUUCAAACUAUCUUUCCUAAACAGCAUGUAUGAUCAAGAGUUUUCCCUAAGGUUGGUAAACCAAGCAUGUAAGCGAGUAAGCAAUUCUAGACUUGGGUAGUUUCUAGGAUUUGAACAAGUGGCAAAGAUGUCCCUAAUUCAAGGCAUGAUCAUACACAAGAAUAGGUUUCAUCCAACUCCUAGACCUAGUGCAUACAAUAACCAAUUAACCUACAACUAGUCACAUGAAAUAACGACUCCAAAAUAGAUAGGUAUAAAUGCACCGGGGCUUGCCUUGAUCGUUAAAAAGAUUAGUAGACACCGACGGAUUCGCUUCACAGGGAACAAAUUCAAACACCUCGUCGGACUCCAAAGGUCCUUCUGAAAAUUCCCAGUAAUCCUCUUCUGGCGCUUCUGGAUCUAUGGUACAUACAUGCAGGGGUUACAAUGCAAACUUUUUAAAUAACAGACUUUACAACUUUCCUUCAUGAUAAAGUUGCAAGCCAACAAAGACUAUACGACUUAUCAUGAAUAAGUUGUAAGUCAACACACAAAAGAAAUCUAAGAAGAUUAACCUCUAUUUUUAUUUUCUUAAUUACCCCUUCCUAUAGCGUUUUCUUUUAUUUUUAGAAAAAGUGGUAAUUACUUUCUAACUUUAACAUCUAAUUUCCUAUGAGUUAAGAAUUAUUUGUGAUUGAUAAAGUAUUAUUCAUAUUUUUAUACAUUUUAUAAAUACUAAGUAUUUACUUAAUUACCUUAAAAGGAAGGCAUUAAAUAAAUACCUAAUUUUUUUAUUAUUUUCCUAGGGUGUAAAAAUUUUAAUGCAUAAAGGAAAAUAAAACAAACCUAACAAAAUUGGUUUCACUAAUUUUGGACACUCCUACAAAUUUCUGUGAUUAAAAUGGUGUAAAACGAAUUUAAACGGAUUAUUUUGCUAAAGAAAUCUAAUUUUUUCCCGAAAUUCCCCCCGGAAAACUUUUCUCACCCACCCACACUCUACCCUCACACGCGAACACUGGGCCUCCCCACGGCACGGACCCCACCUUCCUGUUCAAUCUACCCGCCGGCCUUAACCUCCUUCCGACGGGCCUCGCGGGCCGAUUUCCUCUUCCCUUAUCUCCUGGUAGCCCAGCACCGGCCCACGGCCCCUUUUUCCUUUCCUUCCUUUCUCACGCGACGCCGGCCUGCGUCGCUGCCCUGGGCCUCCGGCCUUUUCUUUCCCGGUCACCCGCGCGCACCACUGGGCCUCAACACGCCGGCCCAAGACGGCCGCACCGCUCUGGCCCGCGCCUUCCUCCCCUUCUCUCUUACUGACAUGCGGGCUCGGUGCACAGCACCUUCUUCCUCCUCCCGCCAAAAGGGCGACCGGAACAGGGGGCGACGCGGCUCGCCGGCCGGCGCCCUCCCGGCGGCGGGUCUUGACGACGACACCAACCCUAACCCUACACGACCUCGCGCGCGGCGACAGCUCCCCUGGGGACAACCGGAGCUACCUCCUCCACGGCGACGGGCGGCAACACCCACGGCCGGCCAUCGUUACCCGUGACAACUACUUAACUGACUCAACCGACUACUUCUACUCCAUCCUGAAACCCUAAGAACUCGACCACGACUGCUCAAGGAAGAAGAAAAGUAGCGCAAGGUGGUUCUCACCGUGAGUGGGCGGCGCGACGGCGGCGGACAGAAGCGGCGGCGAUACAAGGUGUCACGGCGAAGAAGCUGGGCAACAAGUGGGUAGGGCUACUGGUGGGGUGUAGGCGGAGGUGUGGACGGAAGGAAUCGACGGGAGCGGCGGCGUGGAGGUGGAAUUUUGCUUGGCGGCGGUGUCUGGUAGAAGAGGCACGGGCGGCGGUAAAAAGAGCGGCGGUGAAAACGGCGGCGCGGGAGCGGUAGAUAUUCAAGGGUUUCACCGCGCGCAUGGGUGACACCGUGGCCUACCCGUAGGUGUAUGUGGCGAGGAGGUGGCCUAGCUUAGCUGUGCUGGCGGACGACCGACGACGGCGGCGGCGACACGUCUGGAGUUCCUGUCACUGCUUCUCCCGCCCGUGAUCUUCAGAUGCCAAUCGUGGUUGAUCCUUGAUCCAACGGCACACCGAUGUUUAAAGGAAGUUACAGAUAAACUUGAAAUUUCCAUCUUUUGUUUUGACUUCACCCCGAGAUAAUCAUCAAACCGGUGGAAUUUGGAGAUGUUGCUCGAGUUGAUUCUGAAUCGACUGAAUCAAAAGUUCAGUUCGUCAGUCACCGACAGUAGUGCCGACUUCAACUUGCCAAUCCAAUUCAGUGGCCUAAAUCUGGCGUUUCCAACUCAACUUUUACCCAAACAUGCUCUAUAUUGUCCCAAUGUUCCAUUUUGAUCAUAAACCAGUACCCUCCUUGAUCUAAUUUGCUCUGAAAUUGAAUUCAAAGUUGAUGCCUAGCUGCUGUUCAGACUUAGGCAUUUUUCAGAGUUUCAGUUAACUCGUGAUAAUGUGCUGACUUUGGGCUGGAAUUUGACUCCCUUCCUCUUACUGAUCCUGGCCAACAAUACAUGAUUAUUGUAGUCCAAAGUCUAUAUUUCAACAUGGUAUAGUUGUUCUGGUGCACUUAGUUGCAAAUUCUUCCAGAAUUAAAUUUCCAAAUCAGACUCUGAGCUGUUUUUACUGAAUCCUGUUGUCGGACGAGGAACAGUAAACGGCUUUUUCUUUUUCUUUUCUCUGAUUCUUCUGAGAGAUUUAGCACUAGCUUGGUUCCAAAUUUUUGAUCCUUUAGUCCUAAACACUCUUAUACUUGUACUCCACACAUUUGAUAAAUUUUUCUGAAUUUCAAAUUUGAAAUUCAAAUUUCGGUCAAAAUUUGGCCGAAUUUGACCCUUUUGCCAUUUUUCCUUCCUUUUCUUUUGAAUUUUCUUCUGAAUUUUUCAUGGUUACUAUAUUAUUAUGAAUGGCAUUUAUUACACAACGCUCGCCGCACGAGCGUCCCGGUACGAUGCAUGGCUUUAUGGCUCAACCAGCGAACUCCGGAUUUUGUGGUGUAAUCCGAAAACCUCCCUUGACGUCCUCUCGCCGUGUAGCCAGGUACAGUAGACGUACACCGCACGAUCGCCUGUCCCUCGAACGCGAGCCUUGAUCCACCCUUCACCGUCCCACGGUUCGUCGGCAUGGCAUCCUAUCCCCGUUCUUCACUCGUCGCCGCAUGUACCUCGUCUCCACCUGUCACCUGCAACCACACCUGCCAAGAGACACGUCACACGCACACCGUGUUGUCAAUCGCUCAUCACCAAGGUACUAGCCCACCGGCAUCUCACAUUGACGUACCAAUAGGUCUAGCAUGUUAUAAUUGACCUCAGCAGCUCACCAAUUGGCAUUCUUUUUGGACGUUCAGAGCCAACUUGUUCAGAGCCAACUAACAAGAUAACAUGAAGACAUGGAUGGACAACUCGACUAUAUAUAUUUUUUGAACACAAACUUGAUUUUAUUAGAUUACCUGUAUUAUAAAAUACUUAUUGUAAAGCAUAUUGUUUAUACUAUUGACUGAAAUGAUAUUGCUCUUCCCCUUUGAUGCCUGUUGUAAAACUGAUUUUUUUCAGCUAAUUAUUCUAUCUUCACCUAACACUUGGUUGCAACUUCACCUACCAGAACGAUAGGUGUUGUCGCUUUGGUGUAUUGUAGUGAUCAGGUAGUGUAGAGAUAUUUUGUGUAGUGAUCAAAUUGUACAUGUAGAGAGACUUUUGUAUUUAUAGAAUUGUACAGCCGCACGAAACGCAAAGCCACCUGUCGUCGAUCCCACCACCGGGGCUCCGCGCACCCGGGCGUCAUCCCUGCUGCCACACUGCACGGUCCUGCAGAAAUAAACAGGCCAAAGGCAAAUGAGUGAAUGACACAAUCAAAAUUGAUCCGGAGACAGGUAAGAUUGUUGAUUUUCAUCAAGUUUGAUGUGGGUAAUGUUGUCACGGUCACUAGAGGGAGGAAACUGGUCAGGUUGCUAUGAUAAAAGAAUAGGGAGAAGCACAAGGGCAAUUAUGAGAUCCUCCAUGUGGAGGAUGCCUUGGGCCUCGCUGAAAGCAAAUAUGGCUAGGAAAUUGUAUAUUGAUUACGGAGGUGCAUAGCACGUACAUAUAUAUAGGCAAGGGUCCAAGGGUUAGGAACCUUGUCUAUUCUACAAGAAAACCCUGGCGGCUAGCUCUUGAUCUGGCGCAACAGGCGCCUACCAGGGGGAGCCAUGCGCAUGGGCCUAGCCGGGCUAGGGCCCAAUUACACACAUUCUAACACGCCCCCACAGUCUAAUCGCUGGUGCCACGAACAUUUAGACUAGAUCUAAAUUCUUUAAAAAUAGAAGAUGACAACCCUUGGUGAAGACAUCGGCGUACUGGGACGAUGUGGGAACAUGUAGUACACGAACGUCACCCACAGCGACGAGCUCCUGAAUGAAGUGAAGAUCGAUCUCGAUAUGUUUGGUGUGCUGAUGCUGAACCAGGUUGGAGGACAUGUAGACCGCGCUGAUGUUGUCGCAAUAGACCAAGAAGGUGCGGUGAAGUGGGGCAUGGAGCUCUUGAAGUAGCUGGCACAGCCAGGUAGCUUCGGCGACGGCAUUGGCCACAGCACGGUACUCAGCUUCGGCGAGACGGUGGGCUGACGCUUUGAGGACCAAGAAAUCAGGUUGUCGCCGAGGAAGACCACAUAAUCGAAAGUGGAUUUGCGUGUGUUAGGAUAGCCAACCCAAUCAGCAUCAGAGCAUACCACCAGAAGUGGACGCCACGGGAGAGGAAGAACGUGCGAGCGCUGGAGUUGUCAAACUCAUGACCGUUCUCGCACUAGACGGCCUUAAUGAUGGCGCCGAACUGUGUAAGCACGUAGGAAAAGAAAUUAGCAAGAGUAUCAAAUGUGUCAGAUUUUAGCCUUAGAGGAAAAGUUCUAGAAAAGUGAGAGCAAGCAUUGAGAACAAUUAAAUAAUAUUUAAAAUCUGAGAUGCUAGGAAUAGGUGAUGUCCAGAGAUCACAAUGAAUAAGAUCAAAAUUCCUGGAAGCUCAAGAGGAGGACACCCGGAAGGGAAGACGAGUGUGUCGUCCGAGCUGACAUGCAUGAUAGAGAGACGAGCUAAUGUCUUUAUUACAUGAAGGUAAAAUUAGUGCAAGACGGGCGAGGGCUUCCUGCCCAGGAUGGCCGAGGCGAUGGUGCCAGACCGUGGAGGUGACGCCAGCAGUAAGAGUAGCAGCAGCAGGGAGGUGUAGGGGGUAUAGCGGACCCAAACUAUUGCACCUGACAAUCACGUUCCUGGAUCGAAGAUCCUUCACAGAACAACCAGAUGGGUCAAAUUCAACUGAGCAAUUGUUAUCGAUGGUAAAUUGGCGAAUGGAAAUAAGAUUCUUAAUAAGGUUGGGUAAAAUAAGAACAUUAUUAAGAUGUUAAGGACCCGGAUGAACAUCUGCGCUAGUGGAGGUGACAAGAAGUAAAGAACUGUCACCGACAACAAUAGCUGAUGGAAAAGGGUACCGCUGGGUGAAAUUAUGCAAGAGGGAACGAGCAUCGGAGGUCAUGUGGGAGGUAGCACCUGAAUCGAAGUACCACUCGUGCUGCUGCGGCUGGUUUAGCGUCAUAGUGCUGAAGGUGGAGGCGAGGGAUUGCUAAUCCCAUGACGGUGUGCUGGCGGCGGUGCCGGCGAUGGAGAGCUGGUACAGCACCUGCUGUAGAGCCUAUUCCUAGGCGGCCUAGUAUGCCUGAGCCUGCGCCUGGGCCGCCUGCAAUUGGGCAGCCUACAGCUGGGCGGCCUGGAACUGGGCUGCUUGGAGUGCCUGGAGCUCCGCCUGCUGGGCUGGCGUGGCAUGGAGAACUGGGCUAGCAUGGCGUGGGGCGCCCCGGGCUGCGGAGGGCAUGUACUGGGCCACAUCUGGAUGGCCCCGGUCCACAGGUUCUGGAAGGAGGGCUAGGGAGUGACGUCGGAGGGGCCCGGGGGGCGCCUUGCUUGGCGCCGCUGGAGGGGCGCUGGCUGACACCGACGCCGCUACUACCGCUGCCGGAGUUGCCACCCUUGGAGUUGCACCUACCGGAGUUGUGUUUGUUGUGACGAGUCUUGGAGGAGCCGCCCCCGGAAUGGGGCUGCUGUGAGGCCUGGGGCGGUCGGGCUGAUGUGGAGGCGCCCGGGGCAGCAGCGAGAAGAGCGGUGGAGGGCUCCGAGGACGGCUACGCGAAGGUGAGUUCCUCGAACAGCAGAUCAUUCCGAGCCUCCAGGAACAUCGAGAACGGGCGAGCACGAUGAAGGUGAAGAACAAUGGCGGCGUACUUGGAGUUGAGGCCGCGGAUGACGUUGAGGAUGAGGGACCGGUAAGUGACAGGCUCGUCGAGCUCGUCGGCAUCAUCCAUGGCCUUCAGACGGCGGCAGUAGUUAGUGAUGGAUAGAUCACCCUAGACGAAGGUACGAAACUGGGCGUCAAGGAGGAGGGCGCGUGUGUCGUGGUUGCAGAGGAACUGAGACUCGACGGCAAGCCAGACGGAGCGAGUAGUGGCGCCGGGCGUCAUCACGGUGUCGGCAAGGUCGUUGGAGAGGGUGCCAUAGAUCCAAGACCGAACGACGCAAUCCAUCCGCGCCUAGUCAGGGUGACCGUCGAGAGGACUGUCCUGAAGCACGUGGGCGUCGAGGGAGAACUUCUCGACGGUGAGCAGAAAUUGCUCGCGCCAGCAGGCGUAGUUGGUGGAGGCGACAUCGAGGAUGAUCGGGACGAGGCUGCAGAUGUUCUGAAGUGCAACAAGCUGGGCGUGCAGGUUCAGGACGGCAGCGACCUCGUGGAGCAGCAUGGCAUCAUGGACGAAGGGGACGAUAUGGUUCUUGUGGUCAUCAUCAUCGUUGUCAGGGUGAAUGCUGGGUGGCGGAUCAGCGGCCUCAGCGGGGCGCGCUCCUCGACAGCAAGGGCCAGGGCGUCGUGGAGGCGGGCAUCAGCGGUGUCGCGUUCCUGAGCCGCGGUAGCCGCCAGCUGCUUAGCCUGGACAGCGCGGACGAGGGUGGCAGUGCGGGCAGCCUGCCGCUAGGCCUCCUCGGCGAGGUGCUGCUCCUCUGCCGCGGGCGAUGUAGCGACUGGAUCGAUGACAGGGGACGUGGAGCCAGCCAUAGUGAUGGCAUGUGCUAGAAAAGCGGAAGCUAAAUCGGGGUAGGAACCCGGACUCGUGAUACCAUGAAAGCAAAUAUGGCUAGAAAAUUGUAGAUUGAUUAUGGAGGUGCAUAGCACGUACACAUAUAUAGGCAAGGGACAAGAAAGCCCUGGUGGCUGGCUCCUGAUCUGGCGCAACAAGUGCCUGUCGGGGGGAGCCAUGCGCAUGGGCCUAGUUGGGCUGGGCCCAAUUAGACACAUUCUAACACAUGCCUUUGCCACCUAUUUGGGCAAUGUGCUCACAAUUGGCAAGGGGAACAAACCAUGGGUGAGUCUCCCCAAGGGUAAGGGUAUUAAGCUCAGCAAAAUUUAGGAGCAGAGAAAGCUGGAUCCUGCUACUCAGCUUGCUGGGAAUACUUAAGUAGUUUACAUAGAUUUGCUAUAGAAUAAGCCCAAAUGGAAACAUAGAGCGUGCCUUGCUUAUGAUUUUGCGGUUGAUAUGUAGCCUUUGAUUCUAGUUGUUAGUAUUAUUAAAUUACUGUAGACACGUCAUGUUGGAGCCCAAAAGUGGUAGGACUUGGAAAAUCUGGUCAGGCCUGUUCAGACCGGUCUUCCAACCGGUCAGACCGGUUUGGUGAAAGUUCUCAAAAUGCAAAUUGUACUUCACCAUGGUGCAGCUCUCAUUGAGACGAUAUAAAUGCAUAUAUGGAAUGUUCGAUUUGGACUUCGGAUGAGAGAGUUAUGCCCUUGGGAAGAUCAGCACCCUGUGCAGACAAGUCAGACCGGUUGAACCCACCAGUCAGACUGGUUGGAUCAAAGUGCUCCAAAUGAAGAUUGGACUCUACCAUUGCGUAGAUCUUGUCGAGUAGAUCAAGAUUCAUAUAUAAAACGUCCGAUUUGGAGUUCGGAUGAGGGAGAUACAAUCUUCGCAAAAUCUGCACCCGAGCAGACCGGUCACACCGGUUGCCCAGGCCGGUCUGACCAGUCUGGCUCUAUGUAAUCCGAGUAGGAGUUGUAAUUUAGCAUGAUUUGUAUUAGGAUUUCGACUUCUACGUGGGGAAGACCUUCCCUCAGGGAUUCAACCGGUUGAGGACAUCCAACCCAGUCGACAUAAACCAAUCUAUUAUUUAUCAUUUUUUUUCCUUUAUUCUUUUGCCCUAGCUUCUCCAAUCUACCACUUGCUGUUCUUCCUUCGUCUCGAUGAGGUUUGAAGCCGCUCUAGGUGGCCUGCCGAUCGUAGAGCAACCCUGUGUGCGUCUGCCCCCGACGGGAUCCUUCCCGGGUGAACGUUCGAAGGUCUACCGUUGACCUGCCCAACAACCGGUCGGACCAGUCCCUAUAACCGGUUAGACCGGCCUGCGUCGAGGUGCUACCGCGAGCCCCUCCGCACGCCGCACGAUCGUGUGCGUUUGUGUGUUGGCCCAAAAAAGCGUCAACACGUCCUCAUCCAUAUUUAUGUCAUCUACUAUCAAGUCAUGUCAGCAAUUAGUUCGGUCCAAUUCUGGAUUUUAUCAUGUUUUCUAAGUGGUUUGGUUUGUUCGACUUUACCUUUGUAUGAAUGUGUUCAAAGCUUUGUUUUUUGUUGAACAGCAUCAUGAGCGAAUGACUUUAUGUGUUUAUCGAGUAUUGUUUGUUUGUGAGAAGAAGGCAGUGACUGCACUUUGGUACAUUUUACAAUGCAAUGCUCAUACAAGUAUGUAUUCAUUUUUUUCGUGAACACGCAGGAGAGCUGCGCAUCUUUAUACUAAGCAGAAAAAAGACAUACAACAUGGGCCUGCCGGGUGCACGCAUUUGGUUUAAGCUUACAUUAACAGCUAUUACAUGAAACUCUUACAACGAAUGGAUAGAGAAGAGUAGAUCCUCUAUGAGAUAGGCAACCCUGCUGUCCCUGGCCAGCCAAGUGCUGCCAGGUGUUUGGCGCCUGCCGCGCACUAGAGCUCCCCUUCAGUUGUGAUCUCCUAGACUAGGCGCUCCACACUCUUUGCCUGCGAGCGGCCGAACGCUCGGUUGCAGGCAUUGAAUCCUUCCCUUUUUUGCAGCCACCAGUCAAGGAGGGACUGAUUCUGUGUUGGAGCAAUAUUCAGCAAGUUCAUUGAAGCGCUGAUAUGUUGCCACACCUGGAGAGUGUAGGAGCAUCUGGAUAGCAGGUGAUUUGCCGUCUCUAACUCUUGAUCACAAAGCACACAAUCAGCCUGGUCUUGCAGUCCACGUUUUUGCCUCCUCGCUGCCGUUCACAACCUGUUCUUGAUAGCCAACCACAUGAAGAACUUAAUUUUGAGAGGAGCCCAUGCUUUCCAAAUCAGCUUAGCUGCAACGAAUCUGACGGCAGUUCCGAAGAAGAAACGAUAUGCCGAUUUCACUGAAUACUCUCCUUUGAUGUUCCUGUUGGAUUUUGGCCCAUACAUGGCUCAAUCUCAAAAUUCCAAAGCAUGCACAACCUUUAGUCCCAUAUUGGUAAUUCAAGGAGAGGUUACUUUGCUUAAAUAUGGGAGUCUUCUCUUUAUGCAAAAAAAGGUGCAAGUGAGAGAGAGAGGAGCCUGUUGCUACACGCACGCACAUUUUCGCGUAAAAAAUCGCGUGACUUGUGACUUGUGACUUGUGACUACUAAUUUAUGAGGCUGUUUGAUGGGGGAAACUUAUGCUGUAUUGAGUCUAUAACACCAGGAGACGUCCUG